rnacentral:lncRNA from 1 species
CCUAGUUAAUCAGGUUCAUAUCAUCUCGAAAAGCAAAUAAAAAUGUUAAAAAGCCCCAUGUGAGUAUGCUCAUGGCAUAAAACCCAUAGGAACAUUCACUGUGGUGGCAUAAAAUAAAUAUGUUUUCAUUUUACAAUAAUAAUAUAAAAAUAAUAAGUGCAUGAUCCUGCUAAAUAAAUAACAUUUAUUGAGGAAGCUCAACAUGAUAAAGGCUAGAUAUUUAUGCUAGCACUUAACCAGUUCCACAAAGCUUUGUUGUCUAUUUGAGCUCCAUAGAAUUCAAGGAUCAAAGAAGACUAGCAGACGGAGGACAUCCUAAUCGAUGUCAGGGUGCUGCCGACAUUCAAAUACACCUCUAUCACCUGCUAGCUAUAUCAGAAGAAAUUACGUCAAAAUCCAGCUUGGGGGAGAGCACCCCCAUUUAUCCAGCUAAGUGUUCUACUCAUAUUUAUACUUUACUCAAAUAAUAAAAAGAUGCAUAAUCAUAAAAAACCCAAAUAAAAAUUUUAUGCUUAUAAAUUGAAAUCUCUCUCAAGUUUAGGCAUGCCUGUUAUGAAUUAAGAUUUGCUCUAAACCUGAACUUGUGGGAAGAAUACUUGAUCUAAAGUCUAAGUUGUUAACGGAUAUGAUAUGGGAAGGUUGAGCUGAUGUUUAUCUGUUCCUAGAGAUGCUAGAAUUCUGGAGAAUUUUAUAUUUGAAAAAUCUUUAAAAUAACACAUGAUGAGUUCCUGUAUGAUGAGAGUUUAAAUUCCUACCACAGCCCUAUAUACAUGCUUGCUAGACUUUGAGCCACACAUUUACUUUUUACUGCUUAUGAGCAUUGAGUGUGGUCAAGGUGUGUAGACCCUUAGGAGCUUGUCAUGCGGUUAAAAUCAAAAUUCACUUGCACGUUUACUCACACAUGCUGCUUCUACUCCGGAAGUACGCAUCCACAUACAUCCACUCAUUUCCAUCUCCAGAUUCACCCAAAAGUAUUUUACUCCUAAUCCAGGAGAGAAUAGCCAAAAAUAUUAUCCUAUCCCUGUUAUUCCCUGUGGAAUAAAUGCUCAAGUUAUCUUGGUUACUACCACUUGCUAUAUUAUUUCAGGAAAUGAGUGCUCUAAAAAAAGAAGAAAAAAAGGAGGAUAAAUACGAGAAAAUAAAAAGGGGCAAGUGCCUGGAACCUCGAAAGAAAAGAAAGAGUGAGACGAGAGGUAAAAAUGGACAAGUGUUCAACAGUAGAAUUUGGGGUACAAGAUACCCACCUGAGAGAAAAGAAAAAGAAAAUGUAGGGCAUCUCAUUCCCCUCAAAAAGCUUCAAAGUGAAAGAAAGGUAUGUAUCCCCUCAAAAGAGCAACAGUAGAAUUAGACUUUCACCAUUUUUAUCACCAUCAUCACCAUACACCAUUCAUUCGCCACACAUGCACAUCUUGAUUUGACUUAUUGAAUUGUUUCUCUAGAUCCAUGGUUUGACUAUGCAAUAAAUGUCUUGUAAGUAUGUAUUAUCUUUCUCCCACCUAUGAGCUCCAGAUAUCAAAACCUUAUUAGAGUAGGGUGAGAGAGACGGCAAAAUCACUAUGCCUCAUACCAUAGAUACCACAUACUUUGAGAGAAGGCAUAUACCAUUACUGCCUUGGAAAGGAUCCAGAAAAUACCACAAAAGAGAGAUUUGAGAGAGUUAUACAAGGAAUCUCUGAGUUUUAUUUGAAAAUCUGCAAAAACUCCAGAGUUACAGUUAAUCAAAGAACAAGAGACAUGGCGCUUGACUUUACCGUUCUAUCUUUUAACUACUCAAGACACAAGUGACGGUUGUAAGCCCCAUGGUGAAAGGUAGAAUGAGUAAGUUUUAAGUCUUAACAGUUUACUCUAACUCAGAGAUGAGAUCUUGCUUGAACGCAUGUGUACUUUUAAGGCAUGAAACCACUGCAGAAACUCUUGAGUCCACCCUUGCUCUGGGACGAGUAAGAGGUAAGCUUGGGGGAGUUGUUGACAGUCCUUAAGUACCAAAUAUAAUCAUCAAAUAAAUAAAGAAAAGGAUCCAAAUGCAACCAACACCCAGACUUAGGGUUUUAUCUGACAGAAUUCCAUGAGUUUUGUUGUUUGUCGAUUUCUACAGGGGGUUAUCAGGAAAUAUGAAGGAAAGGCACAAUUUUCUAUCAUCUAGAAGACUCCAGAAGCCACGGGAACAAACGGGAGGCCGAAUGGGCUCGGGGGCAGGCCGCCCGCCCUCCCCCCUUGGGCGCCUGCCCUGGUACAAGAACCAAUAAUAGAAUCGAGUAUGCCAUUACAAAGAUCUCGUUGAGCUGAUCGAAAUGCAUAUAUUAUUUGCUAUAUUUGGAGUUCGGAAUCAAGAGAUAUUAAUAAAAGAAGAACUCCACAUAAAAGAGCUGCGGGAUUAAUUGGGCCCAAAUUAGAUUUUGGUCCAUUAGGGCCUAUGUACAUUUUAAUGAGAUAUGGUGGAAAGUUUAAUACCACAUCGCCUGCUGAACCAAAAAGGCACAAAAGGAGGAGACUAUAUAAGCAGACCCCCUGGCCCCUGGAGGAGAACAACUUCAUCAUAGAGUUGAGAGGUGCCCUCAAAGGAUAACCUCUCCUCUAAAUAAAAUUUCUUUUAGGCUUAGCAUCCAAUGUGAGUAGAAUUAGAUCUUCUAGUUUCUACUAGAUUGAGAGAGUUAGAGUUGAGGUCUAGAUCGGAGGAAGCCCGGCAUGUCGGUGUCUACUCCGAGGUUGUACCUGCGGGAUCAAGUCUCCUAACCCGAUGCUUGCUCCUAGGAUUCUUUAGUAAUUCGACUUCUAAAUUCUAGUAAGUUCUUGUUCUUAUUGUUCUUUGGUUUAUGAGUUUACUUUAAUCUCUUCCGGUUGAGUAUAGAGUAAUCAUUGCUAGCGUAAACGUGGUGUUUGGGCUAGGGUACUCAUAGAUAUCCCCUGACUAGCUGGACCGUGGUAGUAGCGAGGAACGUGACAUUUCCGAGUUACCUUGGUAUCCCACAUCUCGUUAACAGGACGGGUAGGUUUAUAGGUGCGGGUCGAACAUCCUCUGUGGUGUCUAGAUUCCGUAAGCUUCCCCAAUAGAACAAUAGAUCAUCCUUACCAAGGUUAGAACGAGACUACGGAUGCAGUCUUCUCUAUACAUUGCUUACAUCGAGAAACAUUCUUUGUAGCCUAAAGGGGUAGUAGCAAUAGAUUUGGUUCGUCAGAUGCACCCUUUCUCCCAGUGGUAAAAAUAUAAAUACGAUACUCUGGAUAACCACCUGGGUGAAAUGCUCACCGAUAUCUGUGUGCUUGCGGAUCAUUUCCUUAUUGCGUUACCAAAUAUCAACACACGGUCGUCAGGUUUCCGAGGGACAAUGUAAGUGUUUUCACAUUGAAACCCGCAGACAUGCCCAGUGUCCCUUAGAACCUAAUCGAGCACUCCUUAAACAUCUCGAAGACCGCAAGACUGUUAGCAUUUCAUAGCAUCAUCACAAAAGAUAGACUAAAAGUUCAUCCCUACAAUAGCGCUAGAAAGCCUGUUGACUCCAGAAGUGGCAAAUGGACAUACGCAAGCAUACAGUAGUCAAUGUAGCUUUCACUGGGAGUAUUCGAGGUAUCGUAUUUUCCUUGGGGAAUGUGAAGUGAACUAACUAGGCUCAAGGUCAUCCAAAGGGUCAAGGAUAGGUAAGUGAUCUCACACAGAAACUAAUCUAAGGAUAAAUGGUAGAGAGCUAGCUAGGUGGGAGGACAACGAGUGUGUAUAGACUCCUAUGACUCUAACUUUACUCCUAUGAACCAAUCUAAUCUAGUAGUGGACACACACUGCGUUGCUAAACUUAAAUGCUUGUUUGUUGCAAGUCGACUGCAAUAAGAGCACGAAACUCCAAUCCAAGCGGACUCGUUUCUUAUGGGUGACUACAGACUGUACCCGACGUGAAUAGAACCUACUGGGAAGCAGAGGCCUAUCUCGCUUCGCCGUCGCCCGCUAUCACUUUGAUACGGUGGUAUUCAAGGGCAGGAUUUAGUCUAAGCACCACGCUUAUGCUAUCUCCUACUACUCAGAAUAAGUAUACAACCUAGUCCAAGCACCGUGUUACCGGCAGAAAAAAUAACCCAAGCACUUAAGACUAACUUAGCUAGUAUAUAACUACUACACGACAAACUAGGACACUACAAUAGAAUAUUGCACUAAGUAAAUAUUGAAAGUAAAUAAUUAUAAAAGUAAAGGAAAAGUAAAUAUAUUAAAUACUCAAAGUCUUACAAGAGAAAAGGUAAAGAGGAAUACCAUACUCUCUAGAAGAUGACUCCGGAGACUCCGAGCUUCGCUCGACUCAACUCUAAGUCCCACACUAGACUAACUACUACUAUCCUACAUUGUAACAAGUGGAUCUUGAAGUCUGAGAUAUGGAAGAUGAUGGCCUAUAGGGAGUAUUUAUAGUAGGAGUUAGAGUAGGGGCUACUCCACUGCGAUGUUAGCAAUCCGCGUGACCUCCAACAUGCACCAUUGGAUAAACCGACCUUCGAACCACCAUAUGAUCAAUGGUUGGGGAAUUCCAUCACAUGUUCAUCAUGGGGACGUCGGUGGGGGUGAACUGACUCCAGAUGGGGCCCACAUGUAGGUCGGCCGACCUGCCAUCUAGGUAGCAGUGGGUCCCACUAACCUUCUAGAAGGUCCUUAGGUCGGUGGGAGGUCGGGCCAGGUGGCAUCACCCAAUUGGUCGAUCGGCUGACCGACCAUUGGGGCCCCUAGCCCACCUCUAGCCUCCUGGUGGUGUCCCUACUUAUCAUGUGAAGUGUUGUCCAAAUUUGAGUCUAGUUGCACACUUGCUUGUUUUCAUGUGGGCCCAAGGAUCCAUGUGCUAAGUGUUUGAACCAUUGAGGGCAAGCACACUUGGAUCCAAUGGUUGGGAUUGACUCCUUGGAGUAUGCCGUGGCUCAUGCCAUGGAGGGGAGCCCCUGGUGGGCCCAAACCAUGGUCGGUCAACUGAGGUUAUGGCGCCCACAGGGCUCGUUUCCUUCUUCCCUGCAUUGAACAAGCUAAGAGUACAAGUGGAACUUUAUUAGUGAUAAAUAUGUUCAUGUGAUGCUUAUCUUCCUUCAAUCGAGGACUGUUGACGGGUUUUUGAGUAUAUAGAAUUAGGUCUUAUUUCCCGUCAACAAGAACCCCCACACUUACGUCUUUGUUCAUCCUCGUGCAAUGGUUAGAAAAAGAUAACCUAUGAUUAUGACACUUUUAAGAUAUAAGCAAACACAAAGACUGUUCAAGACAUAUCUUAUACAAGUGGGUUAUGUGGCACUGUCUAACAUAUAUCCUUAGGAUGUUGAAAAAUGGAACAGUUCUCAAAGGAAAGUCAUCGUCCCAUUUUCAUAUCCUUAGUACUUAGAGUUUUUGAUAAAUGUUUUAAAAAGAAAGCACAUAGUUCAUCCUUACUCCUCUAAUAGUACUCUCAAGUCACUCACUAAGUGUAGGAUUCCUCACCAAGGCAUAGCAUAAGAUUGACUUCUUUUGUUUCAGCCUACAUCUAUUAGGCUUAUGGGGCUCAUGUAGGGAGAAACAAGAUAGCAUACUUGCAUUGUGUCUACUGUAAAGUUAAAACAAGGAUCCAAGGAGAAGAAUGUCAUAAUCCUAGAUCAAGAUGUGUAAGUGUGUGAAAAAAUGAUUAGAAUGGAAUGCUCCUCUAUUCGAUAAGAACUCUCUCUGUUUUAUUUGAGACCUGGCUAGUUUUUUUUUCCAAAGCAAUGGACCUUCAUGUGCCCACUUUUUUUACUAAGCAUAGCCUUUGUGUCUCAUCUUAUAGACAAUACUUAGAUAUAUUCUAAACCUUAAAACAUGGAGCAUCUAUAUGGUGAAAUGGAUGACCUAUUUUUUUUGCGUACUUCCAGUGUAGAAGCAGCAUAUAUAUGUGGUGUGUGUGUGAUCUUGAUCUUGGGACUAUGACAUAAUUCUCAACUAGGGUCACAAGGUAUGACUAAACUCAACACAAGUACAAGUAGCAUAUAUAGAAGGGUUUUGAACAAGUUAUGAACAUAUAUGGCUGUGGUAGGAAUUCUCUUACUAUUGAGGAGUAAGUGACACCAUGGUUUUAUGAUAUUUUCAAAAAUAAAUUUCUAAGCACUUUGAAAUAGAUAGGUUAUGAAUUAUCAGCUAAGAACUAUAUCACAAUUGUCAGCAACCAAGUCAAUAUGAUAUUCCUAUCAAGAUAAGUGACCCACAAGUAUGAGCAUAUGCAAGAAUUAGACUUUGUGAAAAUUUUACCCUUUUAAUGUCAUGAAUCAUGUCACACUUUUAAUGUCAUAAAUCAUAGAUCCAAGUCUUCUUGUUUUUAUUUUUGUUUUAUUUUAUCUAAUAAAGCAAACAAGAGAUAGAAGUAAUAAAAAUGAAAGAAUAGAGGGGGAGUAGGAGUGGCAAACCAGUCAGAAGGCAGGCAGACGUUGAGUGGAUGCUGAAUGGUGGGUCCAGGGCUCCAAGGUGGGGUCAGCCGACCCCACUAGGGCUUGCCAUUGCUGCCAUUUAAAUUCCCAUUCUUGAUGAUGUACCUCUGCAAGCUUCUAUUCCCGUUGGCCAUCAAAGAUGGGGUCGGCCAACCCGCUACUUAGGGUAGAAUUUGUUGAGCCAACUUGCCUCAACAUGUACUACGUCAUGGUGUGUUCAGGAAAUUUAGAGACUUAGUUGGGGGUCACUUGACCCCCCCCCCACACUUGGAUUCUUGAACAUUAUGAAAUCCAAAGACAUGGGAAACAUCAAGUGCAGGGGUCCUAUUGGUGGCAACACACCAGCGGGACCAAGUUGGGUCAUGGGUAAGAAGCUAAAAUCAUAUCAUCAGUUUAACAGGGGAAAUUUCAAUCUUGUGUACCACGGCAUAGAGCAAUUUUAGUUCAUCAUCUUUUAGAGAGUCAGAAGAACCAGGAAAAAGAUUGGUAGUAAUCCAGAAAUAAAUUAAGCACAAGGUUGGAUUGUGAACUUUAGAGGUUAAGAGAGUGGAGCAAUCAUCAAAAUCUACUCUUGUUAAACCUAGGCAUGGUAGUGUCUAAGUCAAUUGUACAAUCAAACUCACAACCUAGAGCAGUGGUUAGAAGACCCCAAGUAAAACUACAUUCAUGCCCACACAUGCGAAAUGUUAUGAGUCAAUUUUAGUGUGCGUAAAAAUUCUUUAUUGAGCACUUCUAUACCAAGUUUAAGGUACUCACCAAAAACCUCCCAAACCAAUGGUAUUAAAAUAUCAUUGAAUUCUUUAGUCAUACCUGUGCGGUCCACAAGGGCUGGGUCAAGGAUGCUUGUAUGGCAGAAACCGCUCUCCUUUAGGUUGUUGAACUUGAUCAGCUCUUCUGGUUUUAAUAUGAGUUCAUUCUUAAAACUCCAUUCCUCUAGGAGGAAGUUCGUAGAGCACCACUUGAUGGUGACUCUCCCCUUCAUCCAUCCUCUCAUGGCUUCCCUCAUUAGAGUGGUGAGAGCUUUGAGAACAACUCGCACCCCCUUUGGACUUCUAGAAUCAGGAGAGGAAUGCUUUCUCCCUUUUCUUGCACAACACAGACAACCAAACUUUUUCCUACUUCUACUCCUAUGCAAGACUAAAUAAUUUUUUGGUUUUUUAAGGACAACUAUUCUAAUAUUGAGAAAUAACUUCACUAAGAAGAUAGAAGAGGGAUUGUGGGCACGAGAUAAUUUUGGUGGUUUUGGGUGUGGAAUUGAGCUCACAAUGCAUGGGUAUUUAUAGGGGAAGAAGGGCAAGUGGUGAACACCCCUAUGUGGGGGUCGGCCGACCUCCCCAUAAGCACUAUGUUUCAAAAUUUUGAGUCAUGGAAGGGAAUCUUGAAACAUAUAUGAACUCUUUUCUAGAGAUUAGCCAAUGUAGAGGUCGGCUGACCCCUACCCUAAGCACUUAGCACUCUAAAUGAUGUGGCAUUAAUUGUCUACUAAAGUAAAGCCUAGUUGUGGACAAGAAGUAAAGUUCUUUUUAUAAGAUUCCCUUGCCUAGUCCUACAUGAAAGAGAAAAGAUGAUUUGCAAAAGUCGAGAUAUGCUUAAAGUGGUUGUCAGUGAUCAUGACAGCACUAGAGCAUGUCUAGGAGACCACUUUGCACGUUUAAGUUGGUGCACAGGUCCCAAACCAACCAUUUGUUUUCAGACUUGGGCCUGGGUGUCAUGCAUGGGAUUCUAAAGCAAAGCAAAUGGGAGAUAGCAGAUUGCCAAAAGGGCAAGUCUUGGGGUCGACCGACCCCAACUUGAAAGCUCCAGGAGCAUCCAAGUGCUGACCUCGCUGCAAAUGGGCCCAAUGGUGGGGUUGGCCGACCCCACCUCUAGGUGAUCCAUAUGUCAAAACUGUAUUCCAAGUUGUUCUCAAGAUUUUUAUUUAUUAUUCCUAAGCAUUUUGUCGAAGGGAAAUAUGCAAAACUAAGCUAAGCAUGCAAUUGGAAGGGAAAUGCAAGAAUUGAAAUGCAAUGAGUAAAGAUGGGAUAAGUACUGAUUUACCUUAUCAGUAAGGGCUUCAUGUUUUAGGUCCGUAGAGCAGGACCUCUCCAUCUUGUUUAUUGCUUGGGUGCUUCAGAUGGCCCUGGAGAUAUGGACCAAGAUUGCCCCUCCGCUUGCCUCGCUUGCGUACCUUUGCCUUGAGGUUGUUGGAGGCAUGGUAUGGUUCUCCUUUAAGCACAAUGGCCUCCAUGGUGACCUCUAGUUUUGCAGCUAUUCUCCCGCAUGAUUGCGGCCUCCCUGAUAGAAUUGAUGACAUUUGUGCUAGUGGGGACCACGAUAGGCUACUCAAGGUAACACGGGUGGCAUAUAGGUGGCUAGAAGGUGUUGAGUUUGAGACAAGGAGGAUUGGGAUGGAGAAGAAGAAGAGCGAAGGCCUAGGAAAGCUAUUGCUAAAGAUUACAAACUUGUUCUCACAAGAGUUGCAAUUGGGAAUAGUUUCUAAGUGCUAGCAUGACACUCUGGGUUAGACUGGGUUUCCCAACUAUGGGUCGCCCGACCCCAUCUUGGUGGAACCAAAACUUCACACUUCUCCCUCAACUCUCCUUUUCGUUGGACCACUUUCAAGAUACUUUAACUUUACUCCUAUGAACCAAUCUAAUCUAGUAGCAGACACACACUAAUGUCACUAAACUUAACUGCUUGUUUGUUGGAAGUCGAGUCCAAUAGGAGGACGAAACUCCUAUCCAAGCGGACUUGUUUAUUAUGGGUGCCUACAGACCGCACCCGACGUGAAUAGAACCUACUGGGAAGUAGAGGCCUGCCACGCUUCGCCGCCGCCAGCUAUCAUGUUUGAUAUGGUGGUAUUCAAGGUCAGGAUUUAGUCUAAGCACCACGCUUUUGCUAACUCCUACUACUUAGACUAUGUAUACGACCUAGUCCAAGCACCGUGUUACCAGCAGAGAAAAUAACCCAAGCACUUAAGACUAACUUAGCUAGUAUAUAACUACUACAAGACAGACUAGGACACUACAAUAGAAUAUUGCACUAAGUAAAUACUUAGAAAAGUAAAGGAAAAGUAAAUAUAUUAAAUAUUCAAUGUCUUACAAGAGAAAAGGUAAAGAGGAAUACCAGACUCUCCAAAAGACGGCUCCAAAGACUCCGAGCUUCGCUCGACUCAACUCUAACUCCCACACUAGACUAACUACUACUACCCUACAUUGUAACAAGUGGAUCUUGAAGUGUGAGAUAUGGAAGAUGAAGGCCUAUAGGGGGUAUUUAUAGCAGGAGGUGGAGUAGGGGCUACUCCACUGCCACGUCAGCAAUCCACGUGACCUUCAUGCACCAUUAGAUAAACCGACCUUGGAACCGCCAUAUGAUCAACGGUUGGGGAAUUCCAUCACAUGUUCAUCAUGGGGACGUCAGUGGGAGUGAACCGACUCCAGAUGGGGCCCACAUGUAGCUCGGUCGACCUGCCAUCUGGAUGAGAUUGGGUCCCACUGACCUUCUAGAAGGUCCUUAGGUCGGUGGGAGGCUGGGCCAGGUGGCAUGACCCAAUUGGUUGGUCGAUCGACUGACCUUUGGGGCCCCUGGCCCCACCACUGGCCUCCUGGUGGUGUCCCCACUUGUCAUGUGAAGUGUUGUCCAAAGUUGAGUCUGGUUGCACACUUGCUUGCUUCCAUGUUGGCCCAAGGAUCCAUGUGCUAAGUGUUUGAUCCAUUGAGGGCAAGCACACUUGGAUCCAAGGGUUGGGAUUGACUCCUUGGAGUAUGCCAUGGCUCAUGCCAUGGAGGGGAGCUCUUGGUGGGCCCAAACCAUGGUCGGCCGACUAAGGUUAUGGGGCCCAUAGGGCUCAUUUCCUUCUUCCCUGCAUUGAACAAGCUAAGAGUAUAAGUGGAACUUUAUUAUUGAUAAAUAUGUUCAUGUGAUGCUUAUCUUCCUUCAAUCCAGUACUGUUGAUGGGUUUUUGAGUAUAUAGUAUUUGGUCUUAUUUUCUGUCAACAAAGACCAAUCAAGCAGAAACUUUGACGGUUCGCUCGUGACAAAAAGGAGGCUAUUAGGACGGAAAUUACACAGCUUUUAGCAGCCGGGUUUAUUAAAGACGUGUAUCACCGCGAUUGGCUAGCCAAUCCGGUUCUUGUAAGGAAAAAGAAUAAUGAAUGGAGAAUGUGCGUUGAUUACACCGAAAGGAUCCUUUUGGUCUCCCUCACAUAGAUGAGGUGGUCAAUUCAAUGGCCGGACGCGAAUUACUCUAUUUUCUUGACUGCUACUAUAGUUAUCACUAGAUCUCUUUAAAAGAGGAUGACCAGAUUAAAACAUCUUUCAUUUCUCACUUUGGGGCAUACUGCUAUACCACCAUGUCCUUUGGAUUAAAAAAUGCUAGAGCCACGUAUCAACAUGCUAUUCAGCAAUGUCUCCACGAAGAAAUACGCGACGACCUUGUCGAUGCUUAUGUCGAUGACGUUGUCAUCAAAACCAGAGACGCCAGCACCCUGAUCGACAAUCUCGACCCGAACCUCCAAAGCACUAAACUAGUAUAAGUGGAAGCUUAACCCCAAAAAAUGCAUUUUCGUGGUCCCCUCCGGCAUACUGCUUGGCAACAUCGUCAAUCGUGACGGCAUACGCCCAAAUCCCUCUAAAGUUAGGGCAGUUCUUGACAUUCGACCACCCAAAAACAUCAAGGACGUACAGAAACUCUCAGGAUGCAUGGCUGCUCUUAGCUAGUUCAUAUCUCGGCUAGGAGAGAAAGGGCUUGUAACAGAACCGACCAAAUUAUAAGAGAUUAAGCCUAAUAGUGACCAUUUGCAUAGUCGGACCAUCACGCUUAAGCCCAUAUAAUCCCGGUAGUCCGUGAAAUCUCGAAGGAUUUCAAACCACACAUCGCGUAACAGCCAAGAUCGUAAUAAGUUUAGCGGCUGCCAUCCACAAGUACAUCCAGAUUACAACAUUCAUAAAACACAUCGGAGUACUUAAGUUAUUACAAACCAAGUUCUUCAAGUAGCGGAAGCUUCAUAGUUCGAAAAUACAACACACACGAUAAGUCUGAUACAGUGCCAUAGUUUGGUCAUUUCCACAAAAGCAAAAGAAGAGACGGAGUGACCAUCGCCCUUGGUCUAGUCAUCACCCAUAGCUGGGUACAGAUAGAGGAUGCAAUAACCAUAGUACAUUUGGCCAUCUACAAAACAACAUGGGAGUAGAACCCUGAGUACGAGAAGGUACUCAGCUAGACUUACCCGUCAUAAACUUAAAAUAAAGACUCAUCAAGGAUCAUGAAGGCUAUAUAGUGGGAUAGCUGACGACCAUUUUGCAAAAUCGCACUAUUUCAAUUUCGUAACCUACAUAAGUCUUUCUUCUUUUAUUUUACUCAAGUUGGAAACAUCAUUACCUAUUAUCUAGGUUUGCACCUGUACUAUUACAAGCAAGUUCAAGGCUAUGAUAAUACCUCAUCACAGCGUUUCUUGAAAACCAUUCAUCAAUAUAACCCAAGUGUUCCACAGUCCUUACUACGAGGACGAAGCUCAUGUCAAGUGCUCACUAUCCAGGAGCGAUGGCGAUUCGAAUCGAUUUCUAACCAGCUAGCGAAUUUAUUCCCCACACAAACCACACUCACUGAUCAAGUGAGCUACAGGUCACCGUGUUGCACUAUCCAGGACCAAUUCGCGGGUUCGACAGGCACCGCCCGUACCCGAGGACCGUUCCGGCGACCGAGGUAUCCAAGGUAUACCAAGGUUGCGCGCCGCGCCCUCGUCGUUCUCCUCAACCAUCACCAAUACAGCACGUACAUCGGGCCGAUUCCCGGCCCGGAUAGUGCUCAGGCUUCGCGGUCAGAACGACUUAUCCUUCCAGCUAAAUGUGGGGCAUGCGUUCAACAUGACAAGAGGGCCGUCAACGAUCGGUCCUUAAUCGACACAGGCAGGGGCACUAUGGACAACCCACCAUAAGACCCUGCCUGGUCUCCAAAUACAUUCCACACUUGGUUAUCCUUUUCCCGAGCAACCAAUGCUUAAUCAAGCAGGUAUCCACCUAUAUCUCGCAGGUGACAGGAAAUCACCCGACUUCUACCGGACUAAGCAAGCUAAGCAUAGACUCCGCGCCUAUCUACAUAGGACAAGGUAGAUAAACGAGUAGGGAUAACAAGGAGUACAUAUGCAGCAACGGUAUCAGGCAACUCCUAUCACUUAAUAUGCAAUACAAUAGAACAAGUAUAGUACUUCAUAUAAGUUAGCGAGAAUAGGGAGACUUAGAAUGCUCCGGGGCUUGCCUUUCUCAAAGGUGCUGGGUCGGUGAUCUGGACACUCCUGCAGUUCCUCUCCGGGUCCCGGUACCUCCGGAGGUUCCUGCUCCUGAAUCUCCUCGGGCUCCUCGGGUCCCACUUCGUUCUCCUGCGAGCCUGUAUGAUGCAUAUAUGCUCAUGAGUGGACUGCGAGAUGCCCGAGUGGAUGCUUGUAUGAGAAAGUACCAAAGGAGUUAUGUUAUGAUGCAUAGGUGAUGCACUUGGUCAUGCUUAUUACAAGGUAGUCAACAACACCCAAGAACAAUUAACUGAAUCAAGCAUCUAUUGCAUUCUCUUCUACAAAUAUUUUUCAAAUGCAACCAGCAACCCCCAUGAUGCUUCAAAGAUGCACCAAACCCGACUUACUCCAUUCAACCUACAUACACAACCAUUCAUAAUUUUCUUUAUUCAUUUCUAAGCCCAUAAAAAAAUCACAUGCAAUUCUGUUCAUCAAUAAAUUCCACAAAAAUUACAGGAGACUACCAGCUAAGCAUAAAGUCUACUGUAAAUUUUUCAUGAUUUUUGGAUACCUAUUUUGAGCCAUAAAAAUCACAAGAUUAAUUAAUAAGGCAAGUAAAAUCACUCUACUGUGAUACAAGUGUCAAACAACAGAUUUCAUAUUUUUACAAUUUGUAUAAUAUCAUAAGAAACACCCACAAAAUUUUCCAGAUUUAUUGCAUGACCCAAUUAAUUAUUAAAAAUCCUAAAUCACUGCCAUGCAAGCAUUUAAAUUACCAUAAAUUCAUUUAUACACCAAAUAAUAUGUAACAAUAUUUUCUCAGUGAUUAAACACACAUGUAGAGCCAGCAAAACAAAUUUUACAUUUUUCUGAACCCUAUUUUAUUUACUAUGCAUUUUCCAAGUUUAGGAAAAACAUGGAUUAAUUAUAUUCUUACAGGGAAAUUACUCAAACAUGACAUGCAAUCAUACUAGGCUAUAGAUCUGGAAAUAAGGAACACAUCAAAAUUUGUUUCACCAUUUUUGGAGCUAUAUCCAUCAAGAUAUGGAUUUUUGAACAUUUAAAUCAUUUUCUGGAAAAACCUUUAAAUCGGAAAGCCACCCAAAACGCUAAGCGCACCCGGAUUCAAACCCUCAGAGUCACUGACAGGCGGGACACGCGAGUCAGGGGACCCCACCUGUCAUCCACUCCGUGACCCCGCGGCCAAAGAUCGGCCGGAAUCUCGCCGCCGGUGAGGUUUCCGGCGACACCGUGAGCACCUACGGCUUCGCGCGAAUGAGACGAGUCCAGCCGUACCCUCUUUGGCACCGGACGAGCACCAGAACUACCUCGCCGUCGCGAAUGGCGGACGCGGUGGCGCUGCUCGCCGUGGUCCGGCCGUUUCACGGCGGUAGAGCGUGAGCUAGCGACGGGAAAAGGUGCGCGAGGCCAAGGCGGACCCAAAGCACCUUUGAACGCGAGCAGAGACAGAGAGGAGAGGGAGAACCGUGCGAGCCGAGAGGUCGCCGGAGCUCCGACUCACUCCGGUGAGCUCUAGCGGGCACGCAUGGCUUACCGAGCGCGGAAGAGCGCAAGCACGAGACGCGGAAGGACGAGGCGGAGCCGGUGGUGGUCGCGAAGGGGAAGGAGAGGGCCGGAGCUAUGGCGUGCGGCGGAGCGGCGAGCGUUGCGCGAGAGCGAGCAGCGAGGCGAGAGCUAGUGGUGGAGGGCGCAAAUGGGAGCGGGGGCUUCGGCGGGCGCAUCCAGGGGCUCCUGGUGGCCGACCAGGGCGUCUCCACGCCGCCGCAUGCCCGCCACGCGGCGGCCAGGCUCUGCCGGCGCGCCACGGCGGCACGGCGAGGCCGUCCGCGCGCGCGGACGCGGGCGCGAGCACGAGGUGGGGGAUGGGGAAGGCGCGGGCGGGCCAGGCCGGCUUCGGCCAGUGGGCCAGAAGCGAGGCCGCGGCCUGCUAGCGCCCCCUUUCCCUUUUCCAUUUUUUUUUUGAAUUUCUUUUCUUAAAUUCUCUUCCAAAAGCAUUUUGACCAUUUUCAAAUCAUUUUCGCCACUUCCACCCAAAAGCAAAGUUGUUCCAAACUAAAAAAUCUACAACUUUGCUUUAAUAAGUAAGACCAAAUUCUAAACAAAAUUUGAAUUAACAAUUAAAACUUAGUUCUAGGUUUUUAAAUAAAUUUAUUUUGGAUAUUUUGCAUAAAUUCCAUUUCUCAAUUUCCAUGGCUCCAAAAAUUGCACAAAAAUGUUCUUAAUUCUUCUUACACAUAAACCAACCUAGUUUGAAUAUUUCACUAUUUUUGAAGCAAGCAUCACAUUUUUAGCAUAUUUAAAACUUAUGAAAUGAUGCACAUAAAAUCAUACUUGAAGAGAAUGACAUGCUCAUGAUGCUUAUGAUUGAUGAGGAUGCUUAUGCAUUGCUUUGCUAAGGCUAAGUGCAUGCUUAACACCUAGGGUGUUACAGCCCUUCCCCCCUUAGGGAAAUCUCGUCCCGAGAUUUUGGGUUACUAACCAUUUCUUAUGAAAUUUUGGAUAAACUGUUUUUAAGUAAUCCUCCGUUUCCCAGGUGGCAUCCCUAUCGUCAUGAUGACUCCACACCACCUUGUAUGUUCGGACAACUCUGUUUCGGGUUACUCGCUCCUUGGUAUCCACAAUCCCCAUUGGCUGCUCUUUGUACUCUAGGUUUGCUUUUAUCUUGAUUCCUCGAGGUUCAAUUCUUUGCUCUGGUACUUUCAGACAUUUCCGCAGUUGCGACACAUGGAAGACCGGAAAGAUCGAGCUCAUCUCCUCAGGCAACUGAAUCUUAUAGGCCACUGGGCCUUUCCUCUCUAGCACUUGGUAUGGUCCCACAUACCUGGGUGCAAGCAUGCUUCGAACUCGGAAACGUUGAACUUUCUUCAUGGGCGUAACUUUGAGGUACACAGUCACCUACUUUGAACUCAAGCGGCCUUCUCCUCUUGUCAGCAUAACUCUUCUGUCGGGAUUGCGCUGCUUGCAUAUGUUGCUGUAUAAUCUGCACCUUCUUCUCGGCCUCAUUCACGAAGUCGAUACCAUAGUACCUUCUCUCACCAGGUUCAACCCAGUUUAACGGAGUUCUACAUCUUCGACCAUACAAAGCUUCAAACGGGGCCAUCUUGAUGCUCUCCUGAUAACUAUUAUUGUAGGAGAAUUCAGCCAAAGGUAACCACGACUCCCAUGAUCCCUUGGAUGAUAGCACACAGGCCCUCAGCAUGUCUUCUAACACUUGAUUUAGCCUCUCGGUUUGACCUGAAGUCUGGGGAUGAUAUGUCGUGCUUCUUAUCAGACUGGUCCCCAAACUCUUAUGCAUGCGCUCCCAGAAGUGAGCGGUGAACUGCGGUCCUCUAUCUGAUAUGAUUGUCUUGGGAAUACCAUGCAGCUUGACAAUCUCAGCCAUAUAUAUAUCGGCAUACUCGGGAGGUCUGUAUGUAUUCUUGACUCGAAUGAAAUGAGCCGACUUGGUUGAUCGAUCUAUGAUUACCCAAAUCGAGUCAUUCCCCUUUCUUGUGGUUGGUAGACCUGUGAUAAAGUCCAUACUGACCUCUUCCCAUUUCCAUUCCGGAACUGAUAACGGUUGUAACAGACCGGCAGGCUUCAUAUGGAUGGCCUUAACUCUGCAACACGUGUCACAACGGGCUACAUAUGCGGAUAUUUCUUUCUUCAUCUUGGUCCACCAAAAGUGGGGUCUUAGAUCUUGAUACAUUUUGCUACUACCAGGAUGAAUAGAAAGCUUAGAGAGAUGGGCUUCAUCCAUGAUGCGAUUCUUCAAUUCCCGAUCCUUCGGAACUACUAACCGAUGUUGAAACCACAGUACCCCUUUCUCAUCAACCCAAAACUGAGUCUUUGGGUCAUCUUUGAUCUUUUCUUUGAUAUGGAAGAUACCCUUGUCUGUUUUCUGACCUUCAAUGACUUGACUCUCGAGUGAACAACUGAGUUGUAUAUGACAUAAGACUUCAGGAUGCAUGAGAUUGAACCCAUCUUCAAACAACGGUUGAACCACCUGAUAGUGCGGUUUACGACUCAAAGCAUCUGCUACUACGUUAGCCUUGCCCGGAUGAUAGUGAACUUCCAGAUCAUAGUCCUUGAUCAGCUCUAACCACCGUCGUUGCCUCAUAUUCAGCUCGGACUGGGUGAAGAUGUACUUCAAACUCUUAUGAUCGGUAUAAAUGUGACACCUAUUUCCCAGCAGAUAAUGUCUCCAAAUCUUCAAAGCAUGCACCACUGCUGCUAACUCGAGGUCGUGCGUUGGGUAAUUGACUUCAUGCUUUCUCAGCUGUCGGGAAGCAUAAGCUAUCACCCUGCCAUCUUGCAUCAACACACAUCCCAGGCCACUCUUUGAUGCGUCACAAAACACAUCAAAAGGCUUCUCUAUGUUGGGUUGCGCCAGAACGGGAGCAGUGGUUAGCAACUUUCGCAAAGUGCGGAAGGCUAACUCACACCCUUCCGUCCAGGCGAACUUAUGAUCCUUUUGUAGCAAACUUGUCAUUGGCUUAGCAAUCUUGGAGAAGUCAGGUAUGAAACGACGAUAAUACCCGGCCAGACCAAGAAAACUUCUAACUUCUGAGACAGAAGUCGGUGCCUUCCAGUCCAUGACUUCCUGCACUUUUGAUGGAUCCACAGCAAUCCCUUCUCCGGACAGAAUGUGCCCUAGGAAAGGCACUUUCUUCAACCAGAACUCACACUUGCUGAACUUGGCAUAUAACUGAUGCUCUCGUAGUCGUGUUAGCACGAUUCGAAGAUGUUUGGCGUGAUUUUGCUCAUUUACUGAAUAAACCAAAAUAUCAUCAAUAAACACCACAACAAACUUAUCCAAUUCUGGCAUAAAGACUGAAUUCAUCAGAUACAUAAAGUAUGCAGGAGCAUUUGUCAAUCCAAAGGACAUGACAAGAUACUCAUACAACCCAUAUCUGGUGGAGAAAGCAGUCUUCGGGAUAUCUUGCGGACGAAUCUUGAUUUGGUGAUACCCAAACCUCAAAUCUAUCUUAGAAAACACCCUUGCCUUGGAUAACUGAUCAAAUAGGAUAUCAAUCCUUGGCAAAGGAUACUUAUUCUUGACUGUCACUGCAUUGAGUGGACGAUAGUCCACGCACAUGUGCAACGACUGAUCCUUCUUUUUCACAAACAGCGCUGGACAACCCCAUUCCGACGAGCUUGGCCGGAUGAACCCUUUAUCCAGCAACUCUUUUAGUUGAUUCUUCAAUUCAGCGAGUUCAUUUAGGGGCAUCCGAUACGACCUUCUAGAUAUUGGUGCUGUACCUGGUAUCAACUCAAUUGCAAACUCUACCUCCCUAUCUGGGGGAAGUCCUGGUAAAUCCUCAGGAAACACAUCAGGGAACUCACAUACCACUGGUAUGUGUUCUAGAGGAACUACCUGUACUGCACAUGAAAGACUGGCGAAGUCCAACCGUCGGGGUAACUUGACCUGAAACACACCCUUCCCUUGCGGUUCUCUGAGGGAAAGGGUUCUAUUCCCGACAUCUAUAACCGCGCCCCAGUCAGUCAUCUUGUUCAUUCCAAUGAUGAUAUCCAAAACCAGUCUUGGCAUGACCACAAGGUUUACACGAAACCUCCGGCCACUGAUAUCCAAGGUAACUCCUGUUACCAUUUUAUUAGUCAACACAUCGGCUCCGGCUGAGCUGAUGCGAUAGCCAUAACCUAACUCAGUAACUGGUUGAUCAUGCUUUUGUGCAAAUGCUUGGCUCAUGAAUGAAUGCGAUGAUCCAGAAUCAAACAAAACAACUGCGAGAUGUUGGUUGACAGAGAACAUACUAGCUGUUACCGGUUCUCCUUCCGGGAUCUCCUCGAUCGAGGUAUGGUGCACACGAGCUGGAUAGGUUGGCUCCUGCCUCUUGGGGUAGGGACAUUCCUUAGCAAAGUGCCCCAUCUUGUGGCAGUUAUAGCAUGGACCCUUGGGCGCAUUGUUGACGGCAGGUGCUGCAGCUUGAAUUGCCUUUGGCUUGGCAGGUGCUAUCGCCACCUUGUACGGCUUCUGUUGUGUCGGAUGCCCGGUGUUCCUUCUUUGCGGCGGUCGGAACCUAGCACCUGGGGCAGGAGGACGAUACUGCUGUCGCCCUGUCACUGGUGCCCUGGACUGAGAUGAUCCUGCUUCAAAAGCCCUUUUACGUGACUUGGAUGCACUGUAGUUGUUGUUAUUGUUCCCUUGGGUCAGACAGUCACUGACAUAGGCAUUGAAAGUAGCCCUGGCCCCUGUACCCAUGGUCUUCAGCAUCUUUGGAUUCAAGCCCCUCUGGAAACUAGCAAUCUUCUUGGCCUCCGUGUUCACAAACUCGGGGGCAUAGUGGGCGAGAUUAUUGAAAGCGUGUAGGUACUCCUUUACAGAUUUCGUCCCCUGGGACAGCCUCAUGAACUCCCCAACCUUCAUCUCAACCACACCCGGGGGAAUAUAAUUUCCCCAGAAAGCGGUGGUGAAGCGGUUCCAUUUGAUUGGGGUCCCCUCUGGGUAGGUGGUACGGUGAUGGGACCACCAAAUCCCAGCGGGUCCUUGUAACUGAUGUGCCGCAUAUUCAGCCUUGAGUUCUUCUGUCAUCCGAAGAAGACGAAACUUCUGCUCCAUGGUAUUGAUCCAUUCAUCUGCCUCGAGGGGUUCCAAAGCCUCUUUGAAGAUUGGUGGCUUGGUAUCCAUGAAGUCCUUGAACGAACUGUACUGGUUGACCUCUCGGCCACCCUGAUUAUCCCCACGACGGGUGUUGUCAGCUAUGUUGCGCAAAGCUUCUUUCAUGUUGCGCUGCAUCUGCUCCAUGUUGCGUUGGCUUCCCAGGAACUGCGUGAAAAACACGUCCGCAGUGUACGGAGGAGGCGGUGGUGGGGGCGGUGUUGGUGCUCUGUUCUCAUCCCGUUGAGCCCCACCUCCGGAUGUACCUGCUCCAAGACCCGGAUUGCUGUUACCCCCGCCACGUGUUUGCACCAUCUGCAUACGCCAAUGAUAAGCAAUCGUUAGGAGUUGCCAUUAACGGUAGAAAAUGUGUAGAAUCGUUCCGUACUAAAUUUACUGAGGAAAAUAAAUUCACACAAUAAACAAAGGCACAACAACUCAUCAUCCACGCACAACAUCACUAACAGAUUACUUAACAUUCACGCAACAAGGUUCGCGUACACCCAACUUGCCAGCAUACAUACACUGGACUUUCAGCAUAACUCAUAAGUCUUACAUAGCCCAGAUCCAAAAGUACACGACAUGCCAUGCAACAUACAACACAAGAGAGGAAGGACUAGCUCUAGAGCCCUAGCAUCUAGUCGCUAUGGUCACUGUCCAUGCCGGAGCCAUCCUCAUCCUCAUCUCCACUAGCAGCUGCUCCUAUCUCGGGAUCCGCGUCCAUCUCGUCCUCAAAGUCUAGCUCAGCUGCUCCAGGCAGGUGGUGAGGGUGGAGCUGGUUAUGCAGCUGGUGGAUCUCCUCAUGCAAGUUCUCAUUGUACUCCUCAGCAUUAGCUAGCUGCUGCUCUAGCUCCAGCUGUCGGGCCCUCAAAGUGUCCUCCUCGUGCCAGGCUUCAUUCCUCUGUCCAAGGACAUGGACUAGCAUGCGCUCGCAGUUCCUGUGAGCAGUAGUCACCCUGUCCUUCUGCUCCCGUACUGUAAGCAGGUCCUGACUCAGCUCACUGUUCUUCUGGACUGCCUAGUCUCUCUCUCUGGUCACACGGGCCAACUCUGCCUGCAGCCUCUCAACCUCAGAGUCAAACUCACGCUGCAACUGACGCUUCUCAUCCUGGACGAUGAGAAGAGACCCGGACAAGCGACCCAAACAACGCUCUAGGCCUCCAUAGGUCUUCAUUAACGCGUACAUGGCACACAUAGCUGCACUGUCACUGUGCUGGUCCUCAUCCGCACUCCUCUCUAGAGCAUUUACCUCGGACUGAUCCCACACCGAAGUGUAAGGGUCACCCCGGGGAAACACCCCAGCGAAGGUGUGGGCCAGCUCCUGUGGAAACCUCUCCAUGAGGUCCCUCAGAACUGCGAAAGCUGCCCUGCUGGCACCGUGGAAAGGCGUGACACCUCGGGACUCGUACACCCAACCGCCCCAAGCAGGGUCUCCUCCACUGGUAGGGACAACUGCCUCGAUCCCCACCAGGGUCUCGUCACCAAGCGGCUCCUUAUCCCAAUAGUAGCGAGGUUCCCUUCCUUCGGGAUACCCCAUCGAACUGAGCACCCUCCAAAGCAAAGUGGGCAUCCCGAACUCCUCCAGGAACUUGCUCUUAUGUCGCGAGCUCCUUGCUGCCAACGGAUGGCGAGGGGCCCGCCCACCAGUGGACUUGCGAGCGGUGAGCCUAGUGCGUGCCAUCUGCUGCAAAUGGAAUACCGUGGGUAAGAGCGAGGAUUACCUUUAAUUAUUUUAUUUAGAAUUGGGACAGAUUAAAUUAAGGGGGAAAGUAAGCAAUGAUAUGAAAUGAACAUGAUGCAUGCACGAACCUACGAUCUCACAAACUUAGAAACAAAGGUUAACACUAAGCGGUAUAUGCGGUGGCACACAACGUUCUCUCAUAACGUAACUAGCGUUCUAAGCGAGAACGUGGUUAGGGUACCUGCAGAAAACUUAUUUCAGCCCACCCACAGUAUGAUCGUGCAGAACAAAAUUUAAAACUAUGCACUUCCCAUACACAGACACCCGUCCAUGCAUGCGAUGUGUCACUACCCACAUCAUCGCCCUAUUGACGGCAUCGCCUCUCAGGACGGAAUUCCCAGCAUGCGGUACUGCGCCCAAGACACACCAAACAUGUGUGCAUGACACAGUACCUAGCAACACUCUCCUAUACCGGCAGUGUAUCCGAUCAUGCUCUCACAGCUCCCACUUACCGUGGCGUAGAGGAAAAAGGGAUCCAUACAUUACCACUCAAAUGAAUGGCACUCAUACUAUUACACGCCGUAUGAGCGACGAAAUAAAAAUAUGAUGCAUUCACCCCCAAGUCAGUACUUAACUAGCCACUUUAGAGUCCUUAAUUGGGCAUAAAGGAUAUGACCAUGGCAUGCUAGAUAGUUUUCCAAAACUUAGUUUAACACCUUGAUCCUUAUUAAUUACUAAAAUCUUUCAUUAAACCGGUUUAGACUUUUGUUUAGAACGUACUUAUGAACAGUAACUCGCUAAACCUUGCUCCGAUGCCAGCUGUAACAGAACCGACCAAAUUAUAAAAGAUUAAGCCCAAUAGUGACCAUUUGCAUAGUCGGACCAUCACGCUUAAGCCCAUAUAAUCCCGGUAGUCCGUGAAAUCUCGAAGGAUUUCAAACCACACAUCGCAUAACAGCCAAGAUCGUAAUAAGUUUAGCGGCUGCCAUCCACAAGUACAUCCAGAUUACAACAUUCAUAAAACACAUCGGAGUACUUAAGUUAUUACAAACCAAGUUCUUCAAGUACCGGAAGCUUCAUAGUUCGAAAAUACAACACACACGAUAAGUCUGAUACAGUGCCAUAGUUUGGUCAUUUCCACAAAAGCAAAAGAAGAGACGAAGUGACCAUCGCCCUUGGUCUAGUCAUCACCCAUAGCUGGGUACAGACAGAGGAUGCAAUAACCAUAGUACAUUUGGCCAUCUGCAAAACAACAUGGGAGUAGAACCCUGAGUACGAGAAGGUACUCAGCUAGACUUACCCGUCAUAAACUUAAAAUAAAGACUCAUCAAGGAUCAUGAAGGCUAUAUAGUGGGAUAGCUGACGACCAUUUUGCAAAAUCGCACUAUUUCAAUUUCGUAACCUACAUAAGUCUUUCUUCUUUUAUUUUACUCAAGUUGGAAACAUCAUUACCUAUUAUCUAGGUUUGCACCUGUACUAUUGCAAGCAAGUUCAAGGCUAUGAUAGUACCUCAUCACAGCAUUUCUUGAAAACCAUUCAUCAAUAUAACCCAAGUGUUCCAUAGUCCUUACUACGAGGACGAAGCUCAUGUCAAGUGCUCACUAUCCAGGAGCGAUGGCGAUUCGAAUCGAUUUCUAACCAGCUAGCGAAUUUAUUCCCCACACAAACCACACUCACUGAUCAAGUGAGCUACAGGUCACCGUGUUGCACUAUCCAGGACCAAUUCGCGGGUUCGACAGGCACCGCCCGUACCCGAGGACCGUUCCGGUGACCGAGGUAUCCAAGGUAUACCAAGGUUGCGCGCCGCGCCCUCGUCGUUCUCCUCAACCAUCACCAAUAUAGCGCGUACAUCGGGCCGAUUCCCGGCCCGGAUAGUGCUCAGGCUUCGCGGUCGGAACGACUUAUCCUUCCACCUAAAUGUGGGGCAUGCCUUCAACAUGACAAGAGGGCCGUCAACGAUCGGUCCUUAAUCGACACAGGCAGGGGCACUAUGGACAACCCACCAUAAGACCCUGCCCGGUCUCCAAAUACAUUCCACACAUGGUUAUCCUUUUCCCGAGCAACCAAUGCUUAAUCAAGCAGGUAUCCACCUAUAUCUCACAGGUGACAGGAAAUCACCCGACUUCUACCGGACUAAGCAAGCUAAGCAUAGACUCCGCGCCUAUCUACAUAGGACAAGGUAGAUAAACGAGUAGGGAUAACAAGGAGUACAUAUGCAGCAACGGUAUCAGACAACUCCUAUCACUUAAUAUGCAAUACAGUAGAACAAGUAUAGUACUUCAUAUAAGUUAGCGAGAAUAGGGAGACUUAGAAUGCUCCGGGGCUUGCCUUUCUCAAAGGUGCUGGGUCGGUGAUCUGGACACUCCUGCAGUUCCUCUCCGGGUCCCGAUACCUCCGGAGGUUCCUGCUCCUGAAUCUCCUCGGGCUCCUCGGGUCCCACUUCGUUCUCCUGCGAGCCUGUAUGAUGCAUAUAUGCUCAUGAGUGGAGUGCGAGAUGCCCAAGUGGAUGCUUGUAUGAGAAAGUACCAAAGGAGUUAUGUUAUGAUGCAUAGGUGAUGCACUUGGUCAUGCUUAUUACAAGGUAGUCAACAACACUCAAGAACAAUUAACUGAAUCAAGCAUCUAUUGCAUUCUCUUCUACAAAUAUUUUUCAAAUGCAACCAGCAACCCCCAUGAUGCUUCAAAGAUGCACCGAACCCGACUUACUCCAUUCAACCUACAUACACAACCAUUCAUAAUUUUCUUUAUUCAUUUCUAAGCCCAUAAAAAAAUCACAUGCAAUUCUGUUCAUCAAUAAAUUCCACAAAAAUUACAGGAGACUACCAGCUAAGCAUAAAGUCUACUGUAAAUUUUUCAUGAUUUUUGGAUACCUAUUUUGAGCCAUAAAAAUCACAAGAUUAAUUAAUAAGGCAAGUAAAAUCACUCUACUGUGAUACAAGUGUCAAACAACAGUUUUCAUAUUUUUACAAUUUGUAUAAUAUCAUACGAAACACCCACAAAAUUUUCCAGAUUUAUUGCGUGACCCAAUUAAUUAUUAAAAAUCCUAAAUCACUGCCAUGCAAGCAUUUAAAUUACCAUAAAUUCAUUUAUACACCAAAUCAUAUGUAACAAUAUUUUCUCAGUGAUUAAACACACAUGCAGAGCUAGCAAAACAAAUUUUACAUUUUUCUGAACCCUAUUUUAUUUACUAUGCAUUUUCCAAGUUUAGGAAAAACAUGGAUUAAUUAUAUUCUUACAGGGAAAUUACUCAAACAUGACAUGCAAUCAUACUAGGCUAUAGAUCUGGAAAUAAGGAACACACCAAAAUUUGUUUCACCAUUUUUGGAGCUAUAUCCAUCAAGAUAUGGAUUUUUGAACAUUUAAAUCAUUUUCUAGAAAAACCUUUAAAACGGAAAGCCACCCAAAACGCUAAGCGCACCCGGAUUCAAACCCUCGGAGUCACUGACAGGCGGGACACGCGAGUCAGGGGACCCCACCUGUCAUCCACUCCGUGACCCCGCGGCCAAAGAUCGGCCGGAAUCUCGCCGCCGGUGAGGUUUCCGGCGACACCGUGAGCAGCUACGGCUUCGCGCGAAUGAGACGAGUCCAGCCGUACCCUCUUUGGCACCGGACGAGCACCGGAACUACCUCGCCGUUGCGAAUGGCGGACACGGCGGCGCUGCUCGCCGUGGUCCGGCCGUUUCACGGCGGUAGAGCGUGAGCUAGCGACGGGAAAAGGUGCGCGAGGCCAAGGCGGACCCAAAGCACCUUUGAACGCGAGCAGAGACAGAGAGGAGAGGGAGAACCGUGCGAGCCGAGAGGUCGCCGGAGCUCCGACUCACUCCGGUGAGCUCUAGCGGGCACGCAUGGCUUACCGAGCGCGGAAGAGCGCAAGCACGAGACGCGGAAGGACGAGGCGGAGCCGGUGGUGGUCGCGAAGGGGAAGGAGAGGGCCGGAGCUGGCCGGGAGGGAAGCUCCGAGCCGUCGGCGGCUAUGGCGUGCGGCGGAGCGGCGAGCGUUGCACAAGAGCGAGCAGCGAGGCGAGAGCGAGCGGUGGAGGGCGCAAAUGGGAGCGGGGGCUUCGGCGGGCGUGUCCAGGGGCUCCUAGUGGCCGACCAGGGCGUCUCCACGCCGCCGCAUGCCCGCCACGCGGCGGCCAGGUUCUGCCGGCGCGCCACGGCGGCACGGCGAGGCCGUCCGCGCGCGCGGACGCGGGCGCGAGCGCGAGGAGGGGGAAGGGGAAGGCGCGGGCGGGCCAGGCCGGCUUCGGCCAGUGGGCCAGAAGCGAGGCCGCGGCCUGCUAGCGCCCCCUUUCCCUUUUCCAUUUUUUUGAAUUUCUUUUCUUAAAUUCUCUUCCAAAAGCAUUUUGGCCAUUUUCAAAUCAUUUUCGCCACUUCCACCCAAAAGCAAAGUUGUUCCAAACUAAAAACUCUACAACUUUGCUUUAAUAAGUAAGACCAGAUUCUAAACAGAAUUUGAAUUACCAAUUAAAACUUAGUUCUAGGUUUUUAAAUAAAUUUAUUUUGGAUAUUUUGCAUAAAUUCCAUUUCUCAAUUUCCAUGGCUCCAAAAAUUGCACAAAAAUGUUCUUAAUUCUUCUUACACAUAAACCAACCUAGUUUGAAUAUUUCACAAUUUUUGAAGCAAGCAUCACAUUUUUAACAUAUUUAAAACUUAUGAAAUGAUGCACAUAAAAUCAUACUUGAAGAGAAUGACAUGCUCAUGAUGCUUAUGAUUGAUGAGGAUGCUUAUGCAUUGCUUUGCUAAGGCUAAGUGCAUGCUUAACACCUAGGGUGUUACAAACCCCAGCCGGGCCAACUCAGGACUGGGGUUCAGAAAGGACAAAAUGUGCAAAGGGGAAAACCAGCGAAGAAAGUGGGACAAGUCUUCCAUACGGAGGUGGAGACGAUCCCGGAGGGUGAACCAGUAAUGAUGGGUAUGUUUCCUAUCGCGAAACAUCCUGCUUUAAUGCUUUUCGAUUCUGGUGCAUCUCAUACAUUCAUCAAUCGCACCUUUGUGUUAAAGUAUGGCAUACCCAUUGGGGAACACAAGAUCAUUUUUAUAUACAGUCACCAGGAGGGCGGCUGAGUUCUAAAGAAAUGGUUCACCAGGUACCCAUCGAAUUUGGUGGGCAUAGUUUUCCCACUAGCAUGAUUGUUCUUAAAGACCAGGAGAUUGAUGUCAUACUAGGCAUGAACUGGAUGGCACAACGAGGGGUUGUGCUAGACACUUUGCAUCGAACCAUUAAAAUCCCAUUGCCCAAUGAGAAUUCCUAUUUGCUAAUUCAAUUAGUUACUCCCAAGCGGACAAUUGGGCAAGUUCAUGCCACUAAUGUGUCUGCAGUUAAAGAUAUCCCGGUAGUUCGAGAUUUUCCGGAUGUGUUUCCGGAAGACCUACCAAGUCUGCCACCGGACCGGGAUGUACAAUUCAGUAUAGAAUUGAAACUAGGGACAGCCCCAAUAUCUCGAAGGGCCUACAGAAUGGCACCGAAAGAGCUGGCCGAAUUAAAAACCCAACUACAAGAGCUGUUGCAGAAAGGUUUUAUUCAGCCCAGUUCUUCUCCAUGGGGUUGCCCAGCCUUGUUUGUGAAAAAGAAAGAUCAAACAUUAAGGCUGUUUGUCGACUAUCGUCCCCUAAAUGAGGUGACGAUUAAAAAUAAGUACCCUUUGCCCCGCAUUGACUUACUGUUCGACCAGUUAGCCGGGGCCAAAGUAUUCUCAAAAAUUGAUUUGAGAUCAGGGUACCACCAAAUUAAAAUUAGGCCGGAAGAUGUGCCCAAGACAGCUUUUACAACCCGUUACAGGCUGUAUGAAUACUUGGUAAUGUCUUUUGGGUUGACCAAUGCACCGGCCCAUUUCAUGUACCUGAUGAACUCUGUCUUCAUGCCAGAACUAGAUAAAUUUGUGGUCGUCUUUAUUGAUGACAUCUUAAUCUAUUCCAAGACUAAGAAAGAACAUGCUGAACAUCUGAAAAUCGUGCUGAACCGUCUUAGGGAGCAUCAACUAUAUGCCAAAUUCAGCAAAUGUGAGUUCUGGCUGGACAAAGUUCAUUUCCUGGGUCAUGUAUUAUCAGCGGAGGGAGUCGCUGUAGACCUAGGCAAGGUAGAAGAUGUGUUGAAUUGGAAACCCUCAACUACGGUACAUGAGGUCCGUAGUUUUCUGGGUAUGGCGGGAUAUUAUCGUCGUUUUAUCCCGGACUUUUCAAGAGUCGCCAAACCAAUCACGACCUUGCUCAAGAAUCAAACAAAAUUUGUUUGGUCACCUCAAUGUGAGCAAGCCUUUUAGACUCUGAAAAGGUUAUUGACAACUGCACCUGUCUUAGCCCAGCCAGAUAUUGAAAAACCCUUUGAUGUGUAUUGUGACGCAUCAGGGAUUGGGUUAGGCUGUGUGCUAAUGCAGGAGGGUCGCGUAAUUGCAUAUGCUUCCAGACAGCUUAAACCACAUGAAGAGAAUUACCCGACCCAUGAUCUUGAACUAGCCGCCGUAGUACAUGCAUUAAAGAUCUGGUGCCAUUAUCUGUUGGGGAACACAUGUCAUUUAUACACCGAUCACAAAAGCUUGAAGUAUAUUUUUACUCAAGCGGAGCUUAAUAUGCGCCAACGAAGGUGGCUAGAACUAAUCAAAGAUUACGACCUUGAGGUGCAUUAUCAUCCUGGCAAGGCGAAUGUAGUAGCUGAUGCCCUCAGUCGUAAGGCUCACUGUAAUUGCUUAACAGUGACGCCUAGAGAUAUAACUUUGUGCCAAGAGCUAGAGAACUUGGGGAUAGAAAUGAUUUCCCAAGGAAGCUUUGCCAAUCUAAAGAUUGAGUUUAAUCUCAAAACUCAAAUCAUAUAGGCACAAAAGGAAGACAAAGGCAUGAAACAUCUUAAAGAGAAAGUUUCUAAUAGAGCACCCACAGACUUUAAGGUGGAUGAUGCAGGAGUGAUCUGGUUCAAGAACCGGUUAGUGGUUCCAAAGGUACCUGAGCUACGACAACGAAUCCUGGAUGAAGCUCAUACCACGAGGUAUUCUAUUCAUCCAGGGAGUAAUAAGAUGUAUUAUGACCUAAAGCAAAGGUUUUGGUGGACAAAAAUGAAGAUAGAAAUAGCUCGCUAUGUGGCCCAAUGCGAUACCUGCCGAAAGGUCAAAGCUAUUCAUCUCAAGUCCGCUGGGGAGUUGCAACCUUUGCCUAUUCCAGCGUUGAAAUGGGAUGAUAUUAGUAUGGAUUUCAUAGUAGGAUUGCCCAAGACGGCCAGAGGCUUUGAUUCUAUUUGGGUCAUUGUGGAUCAUCUCACCAAAAUAGCACACUUCUUACCUGUAAGGAAAUCCUAUUAUACCUCCACCUAUGCUAAGAUCUAUUUUGAUCGUAUACUAAGUCUGCAUGGGGUGCCAAAGACAAUAGUGUCAGAUAGAGGCACACAAUUUGUCUCCCAGUUCUGGAAAUGCUUACAUGAAUCUUUGGGCACCAAACUUUUAUACAGCACAGCCUACCACCCUCAAACGGGUGGGCAAACUGAAAGGGUGAAUCAAACGCUAGAAGAUCUAUUGAGAUCUUGUGCCCUAAAUUUUCCGGAUAAAUGGGAUGACUGUUUUCCUCUAGCAGAAUUUUCUUACAAUAAUAGCUAUGUUGGGUAUUUUAAACGCAAAUAGAAAAAUCCGCAAGCGCACGGAUACCGAUGUAGCUUUCACCCGGGAGUAUUCUAGAGUAUCGAUUUUCCACAGAGAACGUGAGUGUACUAAUUAAGAUCCAAGAUUGUCCAAGGAUAACUAUAUAAUUAUUUUUGGUGGGAAGAGAGGACGUUUCCUGAGAGUUCUCUAGUUGAUCUAAGAAUCAAGAAUUACUUCAAGAUUAUCUAUAUCGGGACAUCAGAGCACUAACCAUAGAAAGAGAUGAGAAGGGGGCUAGGAAGGUCUGACUACGGUCCUACAAACACCGAUAAGAACGAGGUGGAAUACGUCGACCGUUAGGGCUGUCACUACCAUAUGGCUACCACAACAAUCCGUAGGAUUGGGUGCAAUUCUAGGUAAUUGCAAGACUAAACACCACGUCUAAUCUUUUAAUUACUACACUAAUGUUUCAAAGAUUAGAGCACUUGAUGCAAGCGGGAAUCCAAUAAAUAACUUGAAUGUAAAUAAAAGUAAUUAAAGAACUCAGGAAUUAUGAAUUGAAGAACCUGGAGAACGAUGAAGAACGAACCAUUUGCUGCAAAAGUACAAUGUUGAGGAAGAUCCGACAUAUCCGGCUCCUCCUCCGCUCUCCUCUUCUCUCUCCCUAUUUUCUAGAUUACAACUAGAACUAACUAGAACUAGAACUAGAGGAACUAGAACUAGAACUAGAUGAACUAGAACUAGAACUAGAUGAACUAGAGGUAGAACUAGAUGAACUAGAGGGAUCCUCUCUACUUGGAUGAAGAAUUGAAACCCUAACUUUGAUUCUGUAGAAGAGGUAUGAUCUCCAGGGGCCAGGGGGCUUCCUUAUAUAGUCUUUUCAGAUGAAUUUGGGCCGUUGGAUCAAACCUACAUUGAUUGAACGGUUAUCCUUGAUCCUUUAGGUCCGUGGAGCAAAAUCCCCAAAACGUGUCCUGAUUGGACUCUAGAAGUGGGCGGGCGCCCUGUCCCUGAGCCCUCUUGGCUUCCGCUUUGUUCCCGUGGCUUCUGGAGUCUUCUUGAUGAUAGAAAAUUGCACGGCACGUUAAUAUCUCUAUGUAAACCCGAUGUGUGGGCCUUUCUUUCGUAUUUCCAGAUAACCCCCUGUAGAAAUAGACAAACACCAAAACUCGUGGAAUUCUGUCAGAUAAAACCCUAAGUCUAGGUGUUGGUUGCAUAUAAGUCCUUUUCUAUGAUUAGUUGACGGUUAAAUGUGAGCAUUAAGAACCGUCAACAAGCUCACCCAAGCUUAACCUUUGCUCGUCCCUGAGCAAAGAUAAACUCAAGAGUUUCUGCAGUGGUUUCAUGCCUUAAAGAUACACAUGCGUUCCAACAAGAUCUCAUCUUUGGGUUAGGGUAACUGUUAAGAUUUAAACUUGCUCAUUUUACCUUCCACCAUGGGACUUGUAACCGUCACUUCUGUCUUGAGUAGUUAAAAGAUAGAACGGUCUAGUCAAGUUUCAUGUCUCUUAUUCUUGAUCAGCUAUAGCCCUGGAGUUUUUGCAGAUUUUCAAAUAAAACUCAGAGAUUCCUUGUAUGACUCUCUCUAGUCUCUCUUUUGUUGUAUUUCUGGAUCCUUACGAAGGCAUUAAUGGUGUAUGCCUUCUCUCAAAGUAUGUGGUAUUUUUUGUAUGAGGCAUAGUAACAUUGCCUUCUCUCUGACCCUACUCUAAUAAGGCUUUUGAUAUCUGGAGCUCAUAGGUGGAAGAUAGCUAAUACAUACUUACAAGACAUGUAUUGCAUAGUCAAACCAUGGAUCCAGAAGAACAAGUCAAUAAGUCAAAUCAAGAUGUGCAUGUGUGGCGAAUGAAUAGUGUAUGGUGAUAAUGGUGAUAACAAUGGUGAAAGUCGAAUUCUACUUGUGCUCUUUUGAGGGAUACAUACCUUUCUUGCUCUUUUGAAACUUUUUGAGGAGAAUGAGAUGCUCUAUAUUUUCUUUUUCUUUUCUCUCAGGUGGGUAUCUUGUACCCCUAAUUAUACUGUCGGACACUUGUCCAUUUUUACCUCUCGUCUCACUUUUUCUUUUCUUCGAGGUUCCGGGCACUUGCCCCUUUUUAUUUCCUCGUAUUUUCUCUCUUUUUUUUCUUCUCUUUUUUCUUAGAGCACUCAUUUCCUAAAAUAAUAUAGCAAGUGGUAGUAACCAUGACAACUUGAGCAUUUAUUUCAUAGGGGAAAAACAGAAAUUUUUUGGCUAUUCUCUCCCAGAUUAGGAGUAGAAUAUUUUUGGGUGGUUCUGGAGAUGGAAAUGGGUGGAUAUAUGUGGAUGCGUACUUCCAGAGUAGAAGCAGUAUGUAUGAGUGAACGUGCAAGUGAAUCUUGAUUUAACCACAUGAUAAGCUCCUAAGGGUCUACACAGCUUGACCACACUCAAUGCUUAUAAGUAGUAAAAAAAAAUAAAUUUGUGGCUCAAAGUCUUGCAAGCAUGUAUAUAUGGCUGUGGUAGGAGUUUAAACUCUCAUCAUACAGGAACUCAUCAUGUGAUAUUUUAAAGAUUUUCAAAGAUAAAAUUCCCUAGAAUUCUAGCAUCUCUAAGAACAGAUAAACAGGAGCUCAACCUUCCCAUAUCAUAUCCGUUAACAACUUAGACUUUAUAUAAAGUACUCUUCCCACAAGUUCAGGUUUAGAGCAAAUCUUAAUUAAUAACAGUCACGCCUAAACUUGAGAGAGAUUUCAAUUUUGAGAACUAGUCAUGGCAGAGCAACUAUUCAUCAUUUCCAUGUGAGAGCUUAUCAUGAGGGUUCACAGCAAACUUUAUUUAUUUAUUUAUUUAGCAAACUAAGCAAAGAUAUAUAUAUAUAAGCACAAAAUCUCUAUUUGGGUUUAUAUGAUUAUGCAUCUUUUUAUUAUUUGAGUAAAAUAUAAACAUGAGUAGAACACUUAGCUGGAUAAAUGCGGGUUGCUCUCCCCCAAGCUGGAUUUUGACAUAAUUUCUCCUGAUGUAGCUAGUGGCGGAGGUGUAUUUGAAUGUCGGCAGCAUCCUGAACAGCGGUUAGGAUGUCCUCUGUCUGCUAGUCUUCUUUGAUCCUUGAAUUAUGUGGAGCUCAAAUAGACAACAAAGCUUUGUGUAACUAGUUAAGUGUUAGCAUAAAUAUCUAGCCUUUAUCAUGUUGAGCCUCCUCAAUAAAUGUUACUCUCUUUAGUAGGAUCAUAAAUUUAUUUUUAUAUUUUCAUUUUUAUAGCACAUAAAUAUUUUUAUUUUAUUUUUAUGCCACCACAGUGAAUGUACUUAUGGGUUUUAUGCAAUGAGCAUACUCACAUGGGGCUUACUAUCUUUAACAUUUUUAUUUUCUUUUCAAAAUGAUAUAAACCUGAUUUACUAAGCAAAAUAUUUUAAAAUAAUUGAAAGGAAAAAUAUAACUACCAAGUUUACCUCUUGGCAAGGCGUUCUGUGUUUUUAAGUCCUCCGAACGGGACUCUCUAUUUUCUCAGUCAUCCUGGGAUUCACUGGAUGGCGUAGUCGGUGGUUCCGGCAACGCCUCCUCUUCGUGUAUAACUAUCUUCUCUCUCCACACCUGACUUGGUGCUAUGGUCUCCUCAGGAUAGUUCUAUUCAAGCUGUAUGUUUUCAGACUUUACUACUUCUCCUUCGUAGUCUGCCCAUCCGUCCUUGAUGAUUUGCCUCCUCUGGUUGCGGUUGUGUUGUCUUCUUCUUGUCCUAACCUGCUUAGAGUCUUCAACUAUAUAGUUAAGGUCAUUAGAAUAGCAGCGUACCUUCUCAGAGAGGAAGUGCAUGUGGACUUUUCUAGUUCCAAUGUAGAUGAUUGCUUUAACGGUGCUGAGGAACAACCUCCUAAGGAUGAUGGGUGGAUCGUACUCGUCUUCUCCCAUGUCAAUAACCUUCAACUUUUCGGAAUGUCUGAUCUGCCAUCUGGAGCUGAAUGUAUGUCCUUUUUGGUCAGGAACGAUGACUUAAAUCGACGAUCUUGACCUCCUUGAACUGUAGUGACCAUCUUAGCUGACUUGGUCCACAUUUGCUUGUUCCUGUUCCUCAUGUUGGUCCUCUUCCUUGGUUCAUGUCGGGAUUGCUCUGAGAUUUGUGUAAUCUUGUUCUUGAAGGAAAACGUCUCCUUCCUCCCCUUGAUGUAGAAACUGAUCUUGGCAGCACUAGCGUAGAUGACAGCUCCAGAGCUAUUUAGGAAUGGCCUCCCCUAGGCAUAAUGUUGACGCUGUGCCGAUGGAGAUCGAGAUGACGGGGCUUCCUGGAUCGCCUCUCUUGACCGGCAGAAGGUCAGUAAUUACUUCCACAACAGGGUUACGCCAGUAGUUAGGUCCUCAAGCAUCUCAGGGGCAGUGAUUGUCUGAGUGUCCAGUAUCUUUCGUGUGUUUAUGCUCGUAGAUCUAGGUUCUUCACUUGGUGGAGUCUGAAAGUUGUAAAACUCCUUCAUAUUUUGCUUCAAAGUGUACCAGCUCAUAGAGACAAGGCAAAGAUCAAGUGCAUGGGCCCAAUUGGUGGAAAAACACCAACAGAACCAAAAGUGUAUUUGUUCUUCUCUAACCUUAAGCAUAGUGAGCAAGACAAAGUUGAUAGAUAAAAAGAUCACGAGUGUAACAUUUAAAACAUUUGUCAGAUCAGAUCGCUCAACCUAAUGGAAAGAUAAUCUAUUUAUACUUAUGUUUUUUUAUAUAUAUCUUACAAAGAUUGCAUGUGCAACAUUUUAGCUUAUAUGAUUAGAAGUGUGGGAUCACGAAGGUAGUACUACAAACAAAGAUUAAAGGAAUAAACAUGCUGAACUAAUUGGGUUGGUUAAUCUAGAGUUGUAAAUCAUACAUGUUUGUCUCUUUUAUUCAUGUGAACGCGAGAACCAAGGAGAAGCUUAUAAAAAGAAAUGAUAGUCAAGUACCUUAAGAUGUUACCUUACUUGAAGAGUGAUGGUACAGUAUCACCUUGUGAAAACUUUUAUUUCUUAGCGGUUGUGCAUCGUGUUUGUGGCACCCUCCAUGGAUCAUCUCUUGUGAGCUAUGCUUUCCUUGUGUAAAUUGUUAAACUUCAUGUGUCUCUCUCUUUGUCUCCAAUGUGAGUUUAGCUCAGGACUUCCCAGGUCGAUAUUGAAAGUUUUCCUGCAUUGGUUAAUCCAACAAAAUAUCCAAUAUCUACUAUAGCAUUCUAUUGGCUCAAAAAUCAACCUAGACACCAUGUCUAAUUUGAUUCAGGAGGGCAUUUUAACCUAAGCAUCAUGCUUAAUUUAAAAACCCCUUGGAAGUAAGAUCAUCAUUCCUCAACUAAGCACCAAGCUUAAUUAAGAGAUAAAUGAAACUACUCCAAACCUAGACAUAUACUAAAGCAAAUAAAGGUGGUAUGUGAGCAUUUAUAGAGAUCUACUCAAGUAGAGAUGAAGUAGUGUGAUUAGUAUUUAACAAAUUGAGCAUGCCUCAAAGGUAGGGACAACCAACAUAGCAACAUGGCAAAGGAUGUUUUUAUGUAAAGUACUCCCCAAAGCUUGAAUUUCGCUAAAUUCAAAUUUGGAUGAAUUUAAUUUAAUGUUGUAUGAUGAUUGGUUGGACAUACCAUGUGCUUGAGAUUCAUCCGAUCUUCUUGCUCCAAUCCUGGAAAUGUUAGUGACAAGAAUGCCCGAAGGAAUUUUUUUUACAAUUAUCCUAAUAUGCUCAACUCACAAGGUAAUGUAGCAAAUAAUUAAAACCUCAUGUUACAAUCUAAUCAGUGCUUGUUUUAGGACACUAAGCUUGUCCUUGGGAAACCAUCAAUUUAUGUCGGCGAAGUGGUUUCCCCUCCAACGCUGACCUAUAUCAAGAUCAACUCAACGAGAACUGCAAUAUUUAAGAUAGACAUAUGCAUCGACAACCGCCCUUUUAAUGUUUUUUAUAAAUAGAAAGGAUGAGGGGGUUCGAGAUCUCGAAUGUGGUGAUGUUGGAAAAACCAAUGGAUUGGGAAGAUGUUGCAUAUGAGCAUGGAAUAAAUGAAGUGGCUAUGAAAUAAAUUCCAUGCUCAUUGAUGCUUAGAGUGAAAUCCAUGUGGUAUGCUGAAAAUGGUAAGGUGAGUGUGGUAAAAAAGGAAAAGAAAAAGGAUACACGGACGACUUGGUUCGAAACUAGCAUAGCCACCGUUCCUUGUUGGGUAUUUUAAACGCAAACAGAAAAAGCCGCAAGCGCACGGAUACCGAUGUAGCUUUCACCCGAGAGUACUCCAGAGUAUCGAUUUUCCAUAGAGAACGCGAGUGUACUAAUUAAGAUCCAAGAUCGCCCAAGGAUAACUAUAUAAUUAUUUAUUGUCGGAAGAGAGUAAGUUUCCUGAGAGUUCUCUAGUUGAUCUAAGAAUCAAGAAUUACUUCAAGAUUAUCUAUAUCGGGACAACAGAGCACUAACCAUAGAAAGAGAAGAGAAGGGGGCUAGGAAGGUCUGACUACGGUCCUACAAACACCGAUCCGAAUGAGGUGGAAUACGUCGACCGUUAGGGCUGUCACUACCCUAAGGCUACCACAACAAUCCGUAGGAUUGGGUGCAAUUCCAGGUAAUUGCAAGACUAAACACCACGUCUAAUCUAUUAAUUACUACUCUAAUGUUUCAAAGAUUAGAGCACUUGAUGCAAGCGGGAAUCUAAUAAAUAACUUGAAUGUAAAUAAAAGUACUUAAAGAACUCAGGAAUUAUGAAUUGAAGAACCUGGAGAACGAUGAAGAACGAACCAGUUGCUACAAAAGUACAAUGUUGAGGAAGAUCCGACAGAUCCGGCUCCUCCUCCGCUCUCCUCAUCUCUCUCCCUAUUUUCUAGAUUACAACUGGAACUAAUUAGAACUAGAACUAGAACUAGAUGAACUAGAACUAGAACUAGAUGAACUAGAGGUAGAACUAGAUGAACUAGAGGGAUCCUCUCUACUUGGAUGAAGAAUUGUGUGGCAGAACCCCCUAAGUGUUUGGGCCCACCGGCACCUGUCAUUGUCCUAAGGACCUCUGAUGGCGAUGCCGGGGAUCCUCCCACUUUAGAAGUCCGAUGAGCAUCGCUGGAUGCUCAUUCCACUGCUACCUGUGGCGUGCCAAGCCGGCUCGUCCUGACCACUGGUGAUGGUCAAUUAACAAGAACUUCUUCUUCUCGCCCUUACAGGAUAGCAAGUGGCCACCUUAACACCAGGAUCAUUCGUUGCGAAGACCUUGCAGUACCACAAACGGCAUACGACCAAAAUAAUAUUUCAGAGUAAAACAACGAAAGUAUUAUAUAACUUAUUUUACAAAAGGAGUUCUUCCAAAUAGCAGAGUGUUAUUACAAACCAGGUCCAGCGGAGCAACUUAGACUUUAAUACAUCGGUUACAAAUUUAUAGACCCUGCCCAUGGGUCACGCUCACUCUUCUUCGUCGUCAACCUCGACGACGGUCACACAACAGGGUCCGAAACAAGUCGGCUCCUGAGCUUCACCUGCAACAGGGGUUAUAAAACCCUAAGUACGGGAGUACUCAACAAGACUUAUCCAGCAGAAAAAGAGGAGAACUUAGGAAUGCAGGCUUAGGUUAGGCAAGGAGUGGCUGAGCAAGGAGCCAACGUGUUUUGCUAAAAGCUUACUAAUAGUGCAUCCUUACUUUCAAGUUUUACCUGCGAAUUCCUCUCCCGUCGAGGCCGAGGAGUUCGAGGACAGUCUAACUAGUUGUCUCCCCACAGAUGAGUCUGUGAGUUCCUAGUCCUAAAAUAAAGUAUUAUUUAUUCGAUGGCCAUAGCUUCAUGUCGCUAUGAGUCCGGGAAUUGGGAUCCGAACCUCAUGAGACAUUUCUCCCUUUCUCAUUUUACCACUUAGUUGCAUAAUUAACUACGAUGAGGGGCAGUGGAUUGAGUCUCCCAAUCGGGGAGCAACGACGAUUCGAACCGCUUAGCAAUGCAGCUGGAGUUCCUAACCACCCGACAUAUGUAGAACCAAAACUUGCAUAUGUCAACCCAAAUCCAGCUCUCCCCAAAUUUGACCAGGUUCGCGGCACCCGAGAGCACAGUACUCCACCAUCCUACAGCCGAUCUAGAUGUUUUCCGGUCAUCUCAGAUCCGUAAGGUGGGUACACACUACUCUCGCCAUCUUUCCACUCCCAGUGCGCGAGUAGCUGUUCGCGUCGAGGGAUCACAAGACCGGGCUUACCGAGGGCAAGUGGCUAGUACUAUAAAUUCUCAACCCAGCGGGCCAUCAACGGACCGGUCCUUAACCGACACAGUUGGAGACACUACUUUAAGACUCCAUUCUUAAAGCAAGUCCACCGACCGGUCUCAGAUUAAAACAUCAUUAAUCAUAAAUGUAUUCCACAACAACUCUUCAAACUUUCUUAUUUGAAACCCUAUCUAGUAGCAGGGCUAAGCAUCACUACGCAGUUUUAAAAUGAACAGGUGUCAAGGACAGGAUAACAGAUAUCAAGGUAGUAAUGCAGCAAGUAGGUUAACCCAAUUCUCAACUAACUAAUGCAGCAUUUUCAAUUCAUAAGUGAUAAAAGAUUGAAAACAUUCAAGGAGGGGUUAAUGCAUCCGGGGCUUGCCUUGGUUGCAGGGCAGAGAGGGACCCUCGGAGACUUCCCAAGUCUCGGAUCCGACUUCCUCGAACGGAGCACCGACCUCGGGGUUCGGUUCAACGGGCGCUCCUUCGGUCACGUGCACUAUACGCAAAAUGAUGAAUGCUCAUGAUAUGCGUAUGACAAAUAUGCAAGAAGGGUCAAGUCAAGUACAACUUGCCUUCUCGGUGCAACACAGAAUAAACAUUAAUUAACGUUGUUUACCAUUUUAGUGUUUUUACCCAAGAGGUUGCAUCUGUAAAUUAAGACUUUUCUUAAUUUAUAAUUACCCUAAACUAACUCAUUAUUGUCUCUAUUUACCUUGGUUAAUCCUUAGUUAACUACUAAUGACAGUAAUUAAGCAUUUAGGCCAAACUAUAAUUAAAUGCCAAAGGUCAUUAGGAUUAAUGACCUCAGGUCAUCACACAAUCCCAAAGUCACUCAAACCCUAAUCAUGAGGAUUUAACUAAUCAUUGUUUAAUUAUUUUGGAAUUAUUAUUUACCUACUAAAUAAGGGUUUAAUAAUAUUUUAUUCAAAAAUUAUCCAAAUGCCACUAAGUUUUGUGUGAAGCCUGGAAACAAUAUUCAGAGGCUCCCCACAAAUUUUGGUGAUUUUUGGACACACAAAUAAAUUAUUAAAAAUUCUAGAAGUUUUAUUUACCAAUUAAAGGAGUAAAUUUUUAUGAACAGACAAACCAUCAAAGAAAUAAAUUCUAAUAUUUUUCCUAUGCUCUAAAUAUUCUCUGGAAUUUACACAAAAAGUUUCACUAUUUUUGGACCACUACACAAUUUAUUACACAACUUCAAACAUCAAGCAAAAAUCGCAUAAAAAGAAAAAGAAAAAGAUUUUUGCGCAGCGGGCGGCCUAGAACUUGGCCCGCAGGCCGGCCCACGCGCACGCGGCCCGCAUACGCGCUGCGCGCGCUGCCCCUCCCCUUACGUGGACACUGACGAGCGGGCCCCGCUCGUCAGGCUCUCCUCUUCCCUUUCUCUGCGGAACACUGACAGGCGGGUCCCGCCUGUCAGUUCCGUCUCCCUCGUGCACGGCGGCCUUGCUGCGCUCCCGGUCGCCGCUGGCGAGGUCCAAGCCCAGACCAGGGUGCGCAUCAGUUGCGCCUUGACCUUGCGACCCCAUAGAUACGGCUCGAAGACGCUCUACCGUUCUCUUCCUACCCCGGCCGCGCGAAAGGCGGGCGGCUGCCCUGGCCGGCCGUGGACCGACCCUUGGGGCUCGGUAGAGCAUAAACCAACAGGUCCGGGAGGUUCAGGAAGAAGUGGGGAUCAUGGUGCUCACACCACCACGGCGGGAGAAGCAGCAGAGAAGCUUGGCGACGGUGGCCGUGCGGUCGGGCGGGUGCUCCGGCUCCGGCGAGGUCGUCCCGGUGGUCCUGCUCACAUCCAAGGAGAAAAAGCGAGCGCAUGAGCAUCGGGGAAACGAGAAGAGUUCGAAAUGACCACUUGCAAGGCGUCGUACCGACUGGAGCAACGUGUCCACGUGAAGAGUUCCUCGGCGGCGGUCCGGGCCGGAGUUGGGGACGACGGCUCGGCUGGUGGCGCUAGGGGGUCAAAGCGUGCGGCGAAGGGUCCAAGAGGUAGCUAGGUCGCGGGUGAAGUGGGUGCUGCACUCCGGGAAGAUGAAGAGGACGUGCUUGCGGCGAAUUUGAGAGGCGCAGGGAGCUCGUCGGCGAUAAGGUUCAAGGAAAAGAAAAGAAAAGUCCCGGCCACCCGAGGCUUUAUCCACGCGACGGCGCCUGCGAUGCGGAUGAGGACGUCCGCACGAAGCACAGCAGCAAGCAGCUGCGUGGCCAGCUGCGUGGCGGCGUGCGCGGAGGCGGCUCUGCGCCGGCGGCAGAGCACCCCCCUGCCGAACACUGUAGCGACCCUGAUCCACUCAGUUUGUAGUUUUGUAAAAUUCGCCCAAAAUUUGAACUGAGCACAAAAUUCAACCAAAACAAAAGUUGUGCACAAUUUUAUAAGCUGCAGAAUAUAUUUAAGUGUCCCAGGCUGAUUCUGAAUGGAAACCAGUGAUUUAACCAAAACAGUUUGCAAAAUCAAAUCCAAUUCAAAGAAAUUCAAAUUUUUGAAUUGGGGACAAAUCAGGAUUUCUACAAUUACUUUUGAUUUUUCAUAACAACUUGAAAAACUCCCAACAUGAACGUUGCUCAACUUUUUGUGCUCUACAACUUUCAUGUUGACCACUUUUCAAAAUUCCAAAUGGAUUUUGAAUUGGAGGUUUAACUUGGAAAAGGGGACACUUUCUGGAAAUCUGCAUUUUCAAAAUUACUUUGAAUUUUGUAUUGAAUCUUCAAAAACUCAAAACACCAAAGUUGUACAUCUUGACAAGAUCUACAACUUUGCUUUUGAACCCAACCUCAAAUUUUGCUUAGUUUUCAAGUUGUGCAAAAGGGGGCAAAUCUAGGGUUCCAAAAAUCAGGGUUUCCCCCCCUUAGCCUUUCGAAAAACUUCCACCCUAGGGCUUUAGCAACCACACAAGCAUCAACACACCACAUAAGCACACUCUACUUCCCUAAACACAAGCAAUCAAAAUAAACUUGUUUUAAGUUAAUGCAUAAUAAUGUGCUUAACAAAUAUGCUUUGCAAUGCUUAUGAUGACAUGAUCCGUUUUUAGUGUUCGUAACAUCAAGGAUGUUACAGUGAAACCCUAACUUUGAUUCUGUAGAAGAGGUACGAUCUCCAGGGGCCAGGGGGCUUGCUUAUAUAGUAUUUUCUGAUGAAUCAGGGCCGUUGGAUCAAACCGACAUUGAUUGAACAGUUAUCCUUGAUGCUUUAGGUUGGUGGAGCAUAAUCCCUGAAAUUUGUCCUGAUUGGACUCUAGAAGUAGGCGGGCACCCUCAGGACUAGGCCGGGUGCCCUGUCCCUAAGCCCUCUCGUCUUCCGCUUUGUUCCUGUGGCUUCUGGAGUCUUCUAGAUGAUAGAAAAUUGCGCGGCACGUUAAUAUCUCUAUGUAAACCCGACGUGUGGGCCUUUCUUCCGUAUUUCCUGAUAACCCCCUACAGAAAUAGACAAACACCAAAACUCGUGGAAUUCUGUCAGAUAAAACCCUAAGUCUAGGUGUUGGUUGCAUAUGAGUCCUUUUCUAUGAUUAGUUGACGGUUAAAUGUGAGCAUUAAGGACCGUCAACACCGAUAUCGAUCUUCAUGUUGCUGCCAGGUCUCCCGAUGCCUUCUAUGAGUUAUCACAAUGCCAGAUCGCGGAGGACUUCUUGAGCUGGUUCUUUCCUGAACCAGACCCUUGCCUUUAGCGUCAUCGGUAGUAAUCUGAUGUUGUGGAUCCACCGAUGUGCUUCUUUCAGCUGCAUCCAACAUAUUCGUUGGGAAAGGAUGUUGAUCGAUCUUCAUCGGCUUCUGAGCUUUAGAAUUAUCAAAUUUGAUUCUCCUAGAUUCUAUAACCGAUUGCAGCUAUUGCUUGAAAACCUUGCACUCAUUUGUGCCGUGAGACAUUGCAUUGUGCCACUUGCAAUAUUUCAUCUUCUUUAAGUCUUCAGCCGAUGGAAUCACAUGAUUGGGUGAUAACUUGAUUUGCCCUUCGUGAAGUAGAAAGUCAAAUAUCCUAUCGGCCUUGGUGAUGUCAAAUGCAAAUUUCUCUGGCUCCUUAUGCCCAAAAGGGCAAGACAUCGGCUUCUUAUUUUGUACCCACUCUGCUAAACCAAUGAUUGGUUCCUCAUCAGAGCUUGUUGCCUCAUCGACAAAUGACACAUUUUUAUUCCAUGCCCUUUUAGGCUCAAAGGGUUUGAUAUGUUGGUCGGAAAUCCUCUGCACCAAGUGACUGAGACUCUCGAACUCUUGAGAAGCAUACUUGUCUCUGAAAUGCGGCAAUAAUCCCUGAAAAGCCAGAUCGGCUAGCUGCGGAUCAUCCAGAAUCAGACUAUAGCAUUUAUUUUUGACUUCCCACAAUCUUUGCACAAAACUUUCAACCGAUUCAUCAUUGCGUUGCUUCAGCAUGACUAAAUCGGUGAUCUUCUUCUCAUGAACUCCAGAAAAGAAGUAUUUGUGGAAUUGUUUCUCUAGAUCGGCCCAAGCAAUUACUGAGUUGGGCGGUAACAAAAUAAACCAAGUAAAAGCCGAUCCAGACAAAGAUGAUGAGAACAGACGAACCCUCAAUUCAUCUCUGUUGGCAGCUUCUCCACAUUGGAUGAUAAACCUAUUAACAUGCUCCAUAGUUAAUGUAUCAUCCUGUCCAGAAAACUUAGUAAAAUCUGGUACCUUGUAACAAUUUGGAAGUGGAAUUAAAUCAUAUGCAGGAGGCUACGGUGUCCGAUGAGAGUAAGUGUUGACUUUUGGUUUUAUCCCAAAUUGGUCUCCCAUUACUUCAGCUAUCUUAUCGGCCCAAUAAGCAUCGGCAUCUUGCCGAUGAGGCGGCUGUGGAUCUGGCACCUGUUGAUACGCUUCCACGUGUCUCUGUGGUGCACGAUCUCCAUGGAACAUUGGAUUAACCAUCUGACCACCAACUUGCCGACCAAGAUUCAUCGGCUGGUUUAUCAAUCCUUGAUUCUAGAGCCCAUGUUGGAUUGGUCGUUGUUGAAACCCCAGAGCCUGAUGAUUCUACUGAGGAAUCUGUGGAAAGACAAACUGGCCUGUCCAUCCAGUGUUAGCAUUCAUCGGCAUAGGCCCUGCCGAUGACUAGUAAUUGGGCAUCAUCAUUGAAUUGACAUACCCUGGUUGUGUCAUAAUCCUCUGCUGCAUUGGCAUUGGAUCUGCCAAUGCAUUAGGCAUCUGGAAUGUUGGAGCUUGAGAAUUCCCAGUGUAAGGUCUUGUAGUAGUAGUUGUAGUGUACUGGGGACUCUGAUUCAUUAGCGGAUUUGGAGGUGCCGAUGCCAUAGGAGCCUUGCCUGUCACAUCAGCCACUUGAGACGUUCAAGGAGUCUUUACCAUCAUCUGUGGGGGCAUACCAUAACCCCACCAGUUAGGAGGGACAGAUCAUGACAUUGCCGAUGCCAAUAGAUUUGUGGCAAGCUUGAUUUGCCCGUCUGAUGUUGAUGGAUCGGUCGUCAUCGGUGUGGAUUGCGCAUUAGUAAUCCCUAAUGUGCUUGGAGGAGAAGUAGCUUCUGUACUCGUAAUGGCUGUAGUAGCCGAUGGAGCCGUAACCUAUGAUGACCCUAGCUGAUGAUAGGCAGGACCCACAUAAUUUGGUGGCAUGCCCUUCCUUGAAAGUUCUAGCCACCGCAUUGAAAACCGUGUUGGACAGCACACCAGCUUGAUUGAUCAAGGCACGGUUAAUAGCACUUUCAACCAUGUCUUGAAGUUUACCAGUAUUGGCUUCAAAAGUUAUAUGCCGAGGUGCCGGCAAUGCUUCCUUUUGGAUCACUUCGCCGCUCCUGUUGAUACUGAAGGAUUUCAAGCAUUGCUGCUUGUAUUCCUCCAUGGCUUUUGCCAUAGCUUGCUUCUGCUCAUCUCUGAGAUUGGCUUCUAUCACGGGGAUAACGUUCUCCAAGUCAAAAUCGGUGUUUGACAUGUUGAUCUUGAUCUUGAAUAGGUCCCACCGGGCGUGCCAAAAGAUGUGUUGGUGCAAAAGCUGAUCUGGAAACACAAAGGGCUAAUACCCGAUUCAAACGUUAAGGCGUGCCAGCCGAUUUGACCUUACAAUCGACGAAGGUGAUAACUCGAACACUUUGGUCCCGACAACAGUGAUGCGCCCGGAUGUCACGGCCAAGAGGUGCUCACGCGGAACUUGAGAAUGCACCGAGUUUGACCCAACGAAUUCCUAAGAACUCAUAAUAAAAAGAAAAUAUGACGAAGUCAUCAAAAAAGUAGAUGCUAGAAUAUGAGUAAAAACUUGUGUUUGAUUGAUUGAUAGAUUGUUCAUUACAUUGCCCUAGGGUCUACAUUUAUACCCUAUCUAACGAGCUACAACCAGACACGACUAGGAUUCGAAUUCCAAAUUAAACGGAACCCGUAUACAAAACAAAUUCUAAUAACUAAGGAAAACAUUAAACUAUCCCCCGUAACCGAUUGGGACACUACCACGAGUCAAUCGGCAACCUCCGCGCUUUUCUCCAGAGUCAUCGGCAUACUACCUGUCACAGCCAUCGGAAAACACAGGCACUGGUCAUCGGCACGAAUAUGUCAUCACUUCUGGACUUAGUCAUAUUUGGUUGUCUCCCCAUCGACAACCACCUUCAUCGGCAACUCCCCUGUAGACUAGUCACUAUUGCUCCAUCUGCCGAUUUACAUUUCAUUAACUCCAGGUGCGUGUCAAAAGAUACGUGUCCAAAAAUGUUGUCAACAAAUGUAGUCUUGGAAGCGCUCCCAUGCUUCUGGAAUGGAUUCAUCAUGUUGUUGGUGAAAACUUGUAAUUUUCCCACGGAGAGCAUUGGUCUUGCCCAUGGGAAAGAACUUAGCCAUGAAGUUCGUGGAGCAGAGUGCCCACGUAGUAUUCUUCUCCUCUGUAGCAUAGAACCACUGCUUCGCUCUCCCCAACAGUGAGAAUGGGAAAAGACGAAGUAGUAUAGCAUCUGUGGGGACUCCUGACAUGGUUAAAGUGCUGCAAAUCUCUAGGAAGUGUUGGAGAUGAGCACUAGCAUCUUCGUGCGCCUUUCCACAGAACUGGUUGGCUUGCACCAUGUUGAUGAGUCCAGGCUUGAGCUCAAAGUUGUAGUCGAUCUCCAUAGCAGGUCCAGUGCAGAUGUUGUCCGCAGUGGGAGCUGAGAACUCGCGGAUCAACUUGUUUGCCAUGGCUUCGAACUCGGUCGACAAGUUUCGGAUGAAACUUCGGCGGUCUUCUAGUUUGGAUGAAGCUUUGCACUGAAGUGUUGACGAUCUGAGCUUGGCUUUGAUUUUUCUGAAUAACGCUUCGGGGUUGUCAACAAAAUUUCCUCGAAGAUGUCUUCUAUUCAUACAUUACCCUGCAUAAAAUAAUAAAAAAUAGCAAAAUACAGGGGUAAAGCUGUACGGGAGAAUUGAUGAUCUCAAUCGUAUUAGUGAUGCGAAUGAUGACUCAUAAUUCUGUAUUCAUUCCAUAUUAGUAAUCAACCUUCCCCGGCAACGGCGCCAAAAAUGCUUGUUGGGCAUUCUUAACGUCAUUACCAAAAGUAGACUUAGUUUUCUAAUUCUGAUAACGGCGCCAAAAAUGCCGAACCUAUCCCUCAUGCCACUUAAGCCAAGUUGUCAUCCCCAGCAUGACAUGAGAGACGCGGUAUUGAAAUAUGCAAUUGCUCUUCUGAAUGAAUAAUAAAUGAGAUGUGCAAGAACACAGAUUAAUACCGAUGUAGCAUUUUAACCGGGAAGUAUUCCAGGUAUCGUUAUUUAUAUUUUUACCACUCGGAAGGGAUUGGUAAUCAUCAAUGUUGAUUAUGGAAUGGAAUAUGAGAUUGAGUAUCUAUCAUUGCAAGUAUAGAGAGCAUUUAUCUAUCUCUUUCAUACAGGGAUAAAUGUCACAUAAAAUAUUGGUAACGUAUGAAUGGUGACAAAGAUAAUUAAUCUGAUCAGCAUAACUAUCCACAUAUAAUAGUGAUAAGCACCUCCACAGAUAUUCUAGCAAGUCAUUAGCAUGGAAUUAGGAUGAACUACAAGAAUAUUUCCUAAGUAAUUCUUAACUAUAAAGUCUAGCGUAUCAUAGUUAGUGCAAUUAUACUUGGCAAUCAUUGCAAGACAGGACUACGCCCAUGCAUAGUGAUAUUAUCAAGGAAGAUGAGAAACAUAGCAAUCACUCCACUGUAAUAAUGUUGCUCUGCCUACCCUAUACACGAGAGGGGGACUAUAUAAGAAUCAAUGGAGCUGUUACUACCACGAACUACCCCACGAUCCGGCAUAUAGGGUACAAUCGCAGAUAAAUAAGGUAUAAGCACCACGUCUACACAAUACUUAUCAUUUACCCACUGUACACAUGGAUAAAUGCUAUACGAUCCUAAACAUGUAUAUAAUUCCAAUCUAGCUAAGCCAAGCAUAUAACUAUGAUAAACUAAGAACAAUAUAAUUGCAAAUAUAAACAAGUAGAGCAAAGUCAUAAUCAAUAUCUUGAAGUAGAACAAAGUCAUAUUCAUAAUAUUGAAGAACAAUGAUGAACAAAUGAAGAACAAUAGAGGAAUUACCAAGAAUCCUCUUGACAGAUCCAGAAACCAAUCAAAGAUUGACUCCUUCUAGUUCUAAUUUUAUGUAGCUGUGCUAAACUAGAGAUCUAUUGAUGUGGUGGUUCUAGGGCUUGAUCAGAGGCUUCUUCUCCCAAGAUGGAUAAAUGAAUUAGGGUUUCUGGGGUCCUCUCCUCUAGGGGCCAGGGGGUCUGCUUAUAUAGUCCUUCCAAAUGAAUAUAGACCGUCGGAUCAAACCGACAUUAAUCGCACGAUUUUCCUUAAUCCCUUAGGUCGGUAGAGCAUGAUCCGCGAGGUGGAAUCUGAUUGGCCCUUAGGCCAGGGCAGGCGCCCAAUGGGGGAGGGCGGGCGCCCUGCCCCCGAGCCCUAUCGGCCUCCCGCUCGUUCCCGUGGCUUCUGGACUCUUCUAGAUGUUAGAUAGUUGCGGUGCACGCUAAUAUCUCUAUGUAAACCCGGCGUGUGGGCCUUUCUUUCAUAAUUUCUGAUAACCCCCUGCAGAAAUAGACAAACACCAAAACUCGUGGAAUUCUGUGAGAUAAAACCCUAAGUCUAGGUGUUGGUUGCAUUUGGAUCCUUUUUCUUUAUUUAUUUGAUGAUUAUAUUUGGUACUUAAGGACCGUCAACAACUCCAACAAGCUUACCUCUUGCUCGUCCCCGAGCAAGGAUGGACUCAACAGUUUAUGCAGUGGUUUCAUGCUUUAAACGUGCAUAUGCAUUCAAACAAGAUCUCAUAUCUGAGUUAGAGUAAACUGUUAAGACUUAAAACUUACUCAUUUUACCUUUCACCAUGGGGCAUGUAACCGUCACUUGUGUCUUGAGCAGUUAAAAGAUAGAACGGUCAAGUCAAGCGCCAUGUCUCUUAUUCUUGAUCAGCUAUAGCUCUAGGGUUUUUGCCGAUUUUUAGAUAAAACUCAGAGAUUCCUUGUAUGACUCUCUCAAAUCUCUCUUUUGUGGUAUUUCUGGAUCCUAAUGGUAUAUGCCUUCUCUCUCACCCUACUCUAAUAAGGUUUUGAUAUCUGGAGCUCAUAGGUGGGAGACAGAUAAUACAUACUUACAAGACAUUUAUUGCAUAGUCAAACCAUAGAUAAAGAGAAACAAGUCAAUAAGUCAAAUCAAGAUGUGCAUGUGUGGUGAGUGAAUGGUGUAUGGUAAUGAUGGUGAUAACAAUGGUGAAAUCCUAAUUAUACUUUUGCUCUUUUAAGGAGAUACAUACCUUUCUUGCACUUUGAAGCUUUUUGAGGAGAAUGAGAUGCUCUAUAUUUUUCUUUUUCUUUUUCUCUCAGGUGGGUAUCUUGUACCCCUAAUUCUACUAUCGGACACGUGUCCAUUUUUUACCUCUCGUCUUUCUUUUUCUUUCCUUCGAGGUUCUGGGCACUUGCCUCUUUUUAUUUCCUCGUAUCCUUUCUCUUUCUCUCUUUUUUCAGAGCACUCACCCUCCUGAAAUAAUAUAGCAAGUGGUAGUAACCAAGAUAACUCGAGCAUUUAUUUCAUAGGGAAAGACAGAAAUAGGAGAAUGUUUUUGGCUAUUCUCUCCUGGAUUAGGAGUAGAAUACUUUUGGGUGAAUUUGGAGAUGGAAUUGAGUGGAUGUAUGUGGAUGCGUACUUUCGGAGUAGAAGUAGCAUGUAUGAGUGAACGUGCAAGUGAAUAUUGAUUUUAACCACAUGACAAGCUCCUAAGGGUCUACACAGCUUGACCACACUAAAUGCUCAUAAGCAGUAAAAAGUAAAUGUAUGGUUCAUAGUCUAAUAAGCAUGUAUAUAUGGCUGUGGUAGGAUUUUAAACUCUCAUCAUACAGGAACUCAUCAUACAACAUUUUAAAAAUUUUCAAAGAUAAAAUUCUUCAGAAUUCUAGCAUCUCUAGGAACAGAUAAAUAGCAGCUCAACCUUUCCAUAUCAUAUCCGUUAACGACUUAGACUUUAGAUCAAGUACUCUUCCCACAAGUUCAGGAUUAGAGCAGGUUUAAAUUAUAACAGUUAUGCCUAAACUUGAGAGAGAUUUCAAUUUUGAGAACUAGUCAUGGCAAAGCAACUAUUCAUCAUUUCCAUGUGAGAGCUUAUCAUGAUGGUUCAUAGCAAACUUUAUUUAUUUAUUUAUUUGGCAAACUAAGCAAAGAUAUAUAUAUAAGAAAAAAAUCUUUAUUUGGGUUUUAUGAUUAUGCAUCUUUUUAUUAUUUGAGUAAAGUAUAAACACGAGUAGAAACACUUAGCUGGAUAAAUGGGGGUGCUCUCCCCCAAGCUGUAUUUUGACGUAAUUUCUUUUGAUGUAGCUAGCAGGUGACGGAGGUGUAUUUGAAUGUCGGCAGCACCGUGACAGCGAUUAGGAUGUCCUCCGUCUGCUAGUCUUCUUUGAUCUUUGAAUUCCAUGGAGCUCAAAUAGACAACAAAGCUUUGUGGAACUAGUUAAGUGUUAGCAUAAAAUCUUUUUGCCUUUUAUCUUGUUGAGCUUCCUCUAAUAAAUAUUACUCUUUGGUAGGAUCAUAAAUUUAUUUUUAUAUUUUCAUUUUUAUAGGACAAGAAUAUAUUUAUUUUAUUUUUAUGCCACCACAGUGAAUGUACUUAUGGGUUUUAUGCCAUAAGCGUACUCACAUGGGGCUUACUAUUUUUAACAUUUUUAUUUUCUUUUCAAGAUAGCAUGAACCUGAUUAACUAAGCAAACUAUUGAAAGAAAAAGGAUAACUACCAAGUUUACCUCUUGGAAAGGCGUUCUGUGUUUUUAAGUCCUUCGAACGGGACUCUCCAUUUUCUCAGUCGUCCUAGGAUUCGCUGGAUGGCGUAGUUGGUGAUUCCGGUGGCGCCUCCUCUUCGUGUAUAACUAUAUUCUCUUCCUGACUCGGUGCUACGGUCUCCUCAGGACAGUUAUGUUCAAGCUGUAUGUCUUCAGACCUUACCACUUCUCCUUCGUAGUCUGCCCAUCCGUGCUUGAUGAUUUGCCUCCUCUGGUUGCAGUUGCGUCGUCUUCUUCUUGUCCUGACCUACUUAGAGUCUUCAACUAUAUAGUUAGGGUUAGUAAAAUAGCGGCGUACCUUCUUAGAGGGUAAGUGCAUGUAGACUUCUCCGGUUUCAAUGUAGAUGAUUGUUUUAACAGUGCUGAGGAACGGUCUCCCAAGGAUGAUGGGUGGAUUGGACUCGUCUUCUCCCAUGUCAAUAACCUGAAAAUCUAUAUGGACAAAAUUAUCGUCUAUUUUGAUAGGGACAUCAGUUACUAUACCUUCAACCUUUCGGAAUGUCUGAUCUGCCAUCUGGAGCUAGGUCAUCCUUUUUGGUCAGAAACGGUGACUUAAGUCGACGAUCUUGACCUCCUUGAACUGCAGUGACCAUCUUAGCUGACUUGGUCCACAUUUGCUUGUUCCUGUUCCUCCUGUUGGUCCCCUUCCUUGGGUUAUGUUGGGAUUGCUCUGAGAUUUGUCUAGUCUUGUUCUUGAAGGAAAAUGUCUCCUUCCUCUCCUUGAUGUAGAGACUAAUCUUGGCAACACUAGGGUGUACAGGGUACCAACUCAGACGUAGAGGUUCUUCAAUAUUCCCUUUGGAAAACUUAGUGUCUGAUCUGUAAGCCUGGGCAUAAUGUUGACGCUGGAGCCAAAGUCGCAGAGUGCUUCUAUGAAGUCCACCAUGCUGAUGGAGAUCAGGAUGACGGGGCGUCCUGGAUCGCCUCUCUAAGUUGUUAGGCCUGUGUUGAUUCCAACCUUGAUUUUGUUGACGACGGUUGUAGUAGUAGUAGUAGUUGUUGUUGCUGUAGUUUACAUCCUCAAGCAUCUCAGGGCAGUGAUUGCUUGAGUGUCUAGUAUCGCCAGUGUGUUUGUGCUUGUUGAUCCAAGCCCUUCACUUGGUGGAGUCUGGGAGUUGUAAAACUCCUUCAGGUUUUGCUCGAAGUGUACCUACUCAUAGAGACAAGACAGAGAUCAAGUGCAUGGGCCCUGUUGGUGAAAAACACCAACAGAACCAAAAGUGUAUUUGUUCUUCUCUAACCUUAGACAUAGUGAGCAAGACAAAGUUGAUGGAUAAUAAGAUCAUGAGUGUAGCAUUUAAAACAUUUGUCAGAUUAGAUUGCUUGACCUAAUGGAAAGAUAAUCUAUCUAUAUUUAUGUUUUGCUUAUAUCUUCCAAAGAUUGAAUGUGCAACAUUUUAGCUUAUAUGAUUAGGAGUGUAGGAUCAUGGUGGUAGUACUAGGAACAAGGACUAAACAUGCUGAAUCAGUUGGGUUAGUUAAUUUGUGUUUGUCUCUUUAUUCAUGUGAAUGCCAGAACCAUGUAGAAGCUUAUAAAAGUGAUAGUCAAGUACUUUAAGAUGUUACCUUACAUGAGGAGUGAUGGUACAGUAUCAUAUUGUGGAAGCUUUCCUUUCUUAGCGGUUGUGCACCGUGUUUGUGGCACUCUUUUUCUCAUUCCAUGGAUCAUCUCUCUAUGAUGAAUGAGCUAUGUCUUCCUUGUGCAAAUCGUUAAACUUUAUGUGUCUCCUUUGUCUCUAAUGUGAGUUCUGUAACGUCCCGCCUCCACGAGGCCAGGCCCGCUUACAUCUGGCAGCUUUUCUAGGACAUAGUCAGCCCCCACAGACCAACACUAGUCUUUUCAGCACACUUUGUCCUCACUCGUGCGCACCCGGGAACUACUUCCCGGUCGGUCACCCAUCCCUAAAUUUCUCUAGGCCAAGCACGCUUAACUUUAGAGUUCUUUGGAGAUGGGCUUCCGAAAAAGAAGUUGCAACUUGUUGGUAUGAGUCUUCUAUUAAUCCUAUUAAGCCCUGGGCCGGGUGUUACAUCCUUACCAGCUGUCACGGAACCGUCCAAAUUAUAACAGCACAAGUACAAAAACAAUCACCGAAGUGAUCAAUUUAUCAUACUUGAGCCCAUAUAACUCCGGUACUCCAACAAAAUCACGAGGGAUUUCAAACUAACCAACAUACAAGCCAAGAUCGUAGUGAUUCAACAUAACAAGUCACACGUUACAUACAUUUCGCAAGUAGUUCAAAUACAUCGGAGUUCGAUAAGGUCAUUACAACUCAGGUUUACAAAUAGCGGAAGCAAAGUAAUUUGAAACCAAUAUCACUUUUAUUUCAAAUACAUGCCAGUACCAUGGUCCAUUCCAACAAAACCAUCAUAGAUGAGGUAAGUAGGAAGGAUCAUGCCCAUGAUCUUACUCCUUCCCUAUAGCAGGAGUCAUCCAAAUCUUGCAGUGGCUAUGAUACAUCACAACCUGCAACAAGUGGGAAUAAACCCUGAGUACGAGAAUGUACUCAGCUAGACUUACCCGUCAUAAACCAGAAAUAAAUGACACCAAGGAGUAUGCAAGGUUGAUAUAUAAGUGGAGCUUGUUGGACAACAUUUUGCAUAAAAAGCUUAAGUAUAAAUAGUUAAACAUUUCUUAUCUAGCAUCCAUUUAAUUCUCAUUAAACUAUCAACUAGAUUAGCACUUGUACUAUAGCAAUCACUUGAUUAAUAUCAAUCAAUAAUAACCAUAUCAGGUUUGUCAAGGCCGUGAUCAUCAUCAUCAUCAUAGAACCAUUAAGUUAUUUAGUGAAUGCAACGUUUGCCGCUGCUCUGUCAAGUUCUCACUAUCCGGGAGAGAUGGCGAUUCGAAUCGAUUCCUAUCCAGCUGGAGGGGUAUUCCUAGCACUCACCCAAGCAUCCCCCGUCGGAGAGCCAACGGGUCACCUUUGGUACGACUCAAGAAUCGCGGUUCCGAUAAGCGCCGCACUCCCAGGGCUACCACUUUGCCAGGGAGGUUAGGAAUUUUAACUCACCUGCCUUUGGACUUACGCCAAUGGUCCCCCGCACACCGCACUUCCUCCGGUAGUGCGCACUUUAUACUUACCGGCCUUCCGGCCUGAGUCAUAUUACUAGGCUUCGCGGUCGGAACGAGUUAUCCGGCCAACUAAGUGUUAGGCAUGCGUUCAACAUGACAAGAGGACGUACAACGGUCGGUCCUUAAUCGACACAGACGGGGAUAGAUCCACACCCAAGACCUCCAUGCCUUGUUGCUUCACUAUCAUCAUCCCGCCCGGUCUCCUUUCAUAUUAUUAACACAUGGUUCUUUUCCACGAUAGCAAAUAUAGCCAACCGUGAUCUGGAAUCCACCUAUUUUCUGCAGGUACGCUAACCACGAAUGCGUAGUUUGUUUGUAGCUAACGACUAGCUAUAUGUCGAGAGUGUCCGUAUGAUGCCACCGAUAUAGAACGUGAUUACCACCUUAGGCUGGUAAUUUUGUGAGGACGAAUAGGACGAAGCAUGCAUCAUCAUGAUUGGUUGACCUAUGCAUAACUUUGCUCUUGACACCCUUGUUCUAACAAUAAGUAACUUGUGAAUUAAUAUGAUGUCACUUUGCUUGUGUAAAGUUAGAUAAAAUGCCUUGCUCUAUGUUCCUUGAGUAGCUAUGCUUGAUGUUAGGUACUUCCUUUCUAGUUACCUACACAGUAGUUCUUUUUAUGUGUGGUUGCCUUACUUUCUAGGUGUGGUUGUAGCACAAGUUGUCUAACCUCUUGUCCGCAGUGAGUCCAUGAGUUAUCAUCAAGCCUUAUCAUUGUGCUUAUCUCACAAGUUGCCUCAAGUACACCUUCUUGCUUAGAACACAUGAGCUUAUGCGUGUGUACCUAACCAAACCUCGUUGGGUUCUCUGGAAUUCCUAGACCAGAUUCUGUAACGUCCUGCAUCCACGAGGCUAGGCCCGCUUACUGUUGACGGUCCUUAAUGCUCACAUUUAACUAUAAACUAAUCAUGGAAAAGGAUCUAAAUGGAACCAACACCUAGACUUAGGGUUUUAUCUGACAGAAUUCCACGAGUUUUGGUGUUUGUGUAUUUCUGCAGGGGGUUAUCAGGAAAUAUAAAAGAAAGGCCCACACGUCGGGUUUACAUAGAGAUAUUAACGUGCCGCGCAAUUUUCUAUCAUCUAGAAGACUCCAGAAGCCACGGGACCGAAGCGGGGGCCGAGAGGACACAGGGACAGGGUGCCCGCCCUCAGCCAGAGUCCAAUCAGGACUCUCUUUCGGGAUAUUGCUCCACCGACCUAAAGGAUCAACAAUAACCGUUCAAUCAAUGUCGGUUUGAUCCGACGGCCCAGAUUCACUUGAAGGGACUAUAAAACCAGACCCCCUGGCCCCUGGAGAUCGUACCUCUUCUACAGAAUCAAAGCUAGGGUUUCAAUUCUUCAUCCAAGUAGAGAGGAUCCCUCUAGUUCUUCUAGUUCUACCUCUAGUUCAUCUAGAUCUAGUUCUAGUUCAUCUAGUUCUAGUUCUAGUUCUUCUAGUUCUAGUUCUAGUUAGUUCUAGUUGUAAUCUAGAAAAUAGGGAGAGAGAAGAGGAGAGCGGAGGAGGAGCCGGAUCUGUCGGAUCUUCCUCAACAUUAUACUUUUGCAGCAUCUGGUUCGUUCUUCAUCGUUCUCCAGGUUCUUCAAUUCAUAAUCCUGAGUUCUUUAAUUACUUUUAUUUACAUUCAAGUUAUUUAUUGGAUUCCCGCUUGCAUCAAGUGCUCUAGUCUUUAUAACGCUAGAGUAGUAAUUAAUAUAUUAGACGUGGUGUUUAGUCUUGCAAUUACCUGGAAUUGCACCCAAUCCUGCGGAUUGUUGUGGUAGCCUUAGGGUAGUGACAGCACUAACGGUCGACGUAUUCCACCACGUUCGGAUCGGUGUUUGUAGGACCGUAGUCAGACCUUCCUAGCCCCCUUCUCAUCUCUUUCUGUGGUUAGUGCUCUGAUGUCCUGAUAUAGAUAAUCUUGAAGUAAUUCUUGAUUCUUAGAUCAACUAGAGAACUCUCAGGAAACUUCCUCUCUUCCCACCAAAAAUAAUUAUAUAGUUAUCCUUGGGCGAUCUUGAUUCUUAAUUAGUACACUCACGUUCCCUGUGGAAAAUCGAUACUCUAGAUUACUCCCGGGUGAAGGCUACAUCGGUAUCCGUGCGCUUGCGGAUUUUUUUGUUUGCGUUUAAAAUACCCAACAAGCUUUCUGGCGCCGUUGCCGGGGAACGGUAGCUGUGCUAGUUUCGAACCAAGUCGUCCGUGUAUCCUUUUUAUUUUCCUUUUUUUACCACACUCACCAUAUCAUUUUCACCAUACCACAUGGAUUUCACUCUAAGCAUUAAUGAGCAUGGAAUUUAUUUCAUAGCCACUUCAUUUACUCCAUGCUCAUAUGCAACAUCUUCACAAUCCAUUGGUCUCUGCAACAUCACCAUAUUCGAGAUCUCCAACCCCCUCAUCCUUUCUAUUAAUUAUAAAAACUUUAAAAGGGCGGUUGUCGAUGCAUAUGUCUAUAUUAAAUAUUGCAGAUCUCGUUGAGUUGAUCUUGAUAUAGGUCAGCGUUGGAGGGGAAACCACUUCACUGACAUAAAUUGAUGGUUUCCCAAGGACAAGCUUAGUGUCCUAAAACAAGCACUGAUCAGAUUGUAACAUGAGCUUUUAAUUAUUUGCAACAUUACCUUGUGUAUUGAGCAUACAAGGAUAAUUGUAAAAAAAAUUCCUUCAGGUAUUCUUGUCACUAACCUUUCUAGGAUUGGAGCAAGAAGAUCGGAUGAAUGACAAGCACAAGGUAUGUACAACCAAUCAUCAUACAACAUUGAAUUAAAUUCAUCCAAACUUGAAUUUUGCAAAAUUCAAGCUUGGGGGAGUAUUUUACAUAAAAAUAUCCUUUGCCAUGUUGCUAUGUUGGUUAUCCCUACCUUUGAGACAUGCUCAAUUUGUUAAAUAGUAAUCACACUACUUCAUCUCCACUUGAGUAGAUCUCUAUAAAAGCCAUCACGCUACCUUUGUUUAUCCUAGUAAGUGUUAGUUUGGAAGUACUGUACAUACUUCUAUUGGUUUUUAAAUUAAGCAUGGUGCUUAGGUUAAACAACCUUCCUUAAUCUAAUUAGACAUGGAGUCUAGUUUGGUUAUUGAACUAAAAAUUGCUUGUGUAGACAUUGGUAUAUUUUGUCAGACUAACCCCUGCAGAAAAAAAAACUUUCAACAUCAACUUGGGAAGUCCUGAGAUAAACUCACAUUGGAGACAAAGAGAGACAAACAUGAAGUUUAACAAUUUACACAAGGAAGACAUAGCUCACAAGAGAUGAUCCUUGGAGGGUGCCACAAACACGAUGCACAACCGCUAAGAGAGGAAAGCUUACACAAGGUGAUACUGUACCAUCACUCUUCAAGUAAGGUAACAUCUUAAGGUACUUGACUAUCACUUUUAUAAGUUUCUCCUUGGUUCUGGCAUUCACAUGAAUAAAAGAGACAAACAUAUAUGAUUUACAACUCUAGAUUAACAAACCCAAUCGAUUCAAUAUGUUUAGUCUUUCCACCUUUGUGAUCCCACACUCCUAAUCAUAUGAACUAAAAUGUUGCACACUCAAUCUUUGGAAGAUAUAUAAAAAACAACAUAAAUAUAGAUAGAUUAUCUUUCCAUUAGGUUGAGCGAUCUGAUCUAACAAAUGUUUUAAUUGCUACACUCAUGAUCUUAUUAUCCAUCAACUUUGUCUUGCUCACUAUGCUUAAGGUUAGAGAAGAAAAAAAAUACACUUUUGGUUCUGUUGGUGUUUUCCACCAACUGGGCCCAUGCACUUGAUCUCUGCCUUGUCUCUAUGAGCAGGUACACUUUGAGCAAAAUAUGAAGGACUUUUACAACUCCCAGACUCCACCAAGUGAAGAACCUAGAUCUACGAGCACAAACACACUGGUGAGAUUGGACACUCAGGCAAUCACUGCCCUGAGAUGCUUGAGGACGUAACUACUGGAGUAACCCCAUGGCGGAAGUAAUUACUGACCUUCUGCCGGUCAAGAGAGACAACCCAGGAUGCCCCGUCAUCCCGAUCUCCUUCGGCAUGGUGGACUUCCUAGAAGCACUCUGCGACUUUGGCUCCAGCGUCAACAUUAUGCCCAGGGGAAUAUUGAAGAACCUCUACGUUCGAGUUGGUACCUUAUACGCUCCAGCAGACUUCGUGGUGAUAGAGACUGAUACUGAUGAGAGGGCACCCAUCAUCCUAGGGAGGCCAUUCCUGAACACCUCGGGAGCUGACAUCUACGCUAGUGCUGCCAAGAUCAGUUUCUACAUCAAGGGGAAGAAGGAGACGUUUUCCUUCAAGAACAAGACUACACAAAUCUCAGAGCAAUCCCGACAUGAAACAAGGAAGAGGACCAACAGGAGGAACAGGAACAAGCAAAUGUGGACCAAGUCAGCAAAGAUGGUCACUGCAGUUCAAGGAGGUCAAGAUCGUCGACUUAAGUCACCGUUCCUAACCAAAAAGGACGACCCAAGUAUGCCAAGCAUCCAGUGCUCCAUUGAUGGAUACAACUUCCAGAAGAAGCUUUGCGACACCGGGUCAGGCGUCGACAUAAUGGCCGCCAGUCACCUAUCAACUCCUAUUCGGAACCAUGCCCCUAAAACCGACAUACAUUCAGCUUCAGAUGGCAGAUCAGACAUUCUGAAAGAUUGAAGGUUAUUGACAUGGGAGAAGACGAGUACGAUCCACCCAUCAUCCUUGGAAGACCGUUCCUCAGCACUGUUAAAGCAAUCAUCUAGAUUGGAACCAAAGACGUCCACAAGCACUUCCCCUCUAACAAGGUACACCGCUAUUUUACUAACCUUAAUUAUAUAGUUGAAGACUCUAAGCAGGUCAGGACAAGAAGAAGACGACGCAACCGUAACCAGAGAAGGCAAAAUCAUCAAGGACGGAUGGGUAGACUAUGAAGGAGAAGUUGUAAGGUCUGAAGACAUACAACUUGAACAGAACUGUCCUGAGGAGACCGUAGCACCGAGUCAGGUGUGGAGAGAGAAGAUAGUUAUACACGAAGAGGAGACGCUGCCGGAACCACCGACUACGCGAUCCAGCGAAUCCCAGGAUGACUGAGAAAAUGGAGAGUCCCGUUCGGAGGACUUAAAAACACCGAACGCCUUGCCAAGAGGUAAACUUGGUAGUUAUCUUUUCUUUUCAAUUAUUUUAAAAUAGUUUGCUUAGUUAAUCAGGUUCAUAUCAUCUUGAAAAGAAAAUAAAAAUGUUAAAAAAGUAAGCCCCAUGUGAGUAUGCUCAUGGCAUAAAACCCAUAAGUACAUUCACUGUGGUGGCAUAAAAAUAAAAUAAAUAUAUUCCUAUCCUAUAAAUAUAAAAAAUAUAAAAAUAAAUUUAUGAUCCUACAAAAGAAAGUAAUAUUUAUUGAGAAGGCUCAACAUGAUAAAGGCUAGAUAUUUAUGCUAACACUUAACUAGUUCCACAAAGCUUUGUUGUCUAUUUGAGUUCCACAGAAUUCAAGGAUCAAAGAAGACUAGCAGACGGAGGACAUUCUAAUCGCUGUCAGGGUGCUGCCGACAUUCAAAUACACCUCCAUCACCUGCUAGCUACAUCAAAAGAAAUUGCGUCAAAAUCCAGCUUGGGGGAGAGCACCCCCAUUUAUCCAGCUAAGUGCUCUACUCAUGUUUAUAAUUUACUCAAAUAAUAAAAAAAAGAUGCAUAAUCAUAAAAACCCAAAUAAGGAUUUUGUGCUUAUAUAAAUAUCUUUGCUUAGUUUGCUAAAUAAAUAAAUAAAUAAAGUUUGCUAUGAACCCUCAUGAUAAAGCUCUCACACGGAAAUCAUGAAUAGUUGCUCUGCCAUGACUAGGUCUCAAAAUUGAAAUCUCUCUCAAGUUUAGGCAUGACUGUUAUUAAUUAAGAUUUGCUCUAAACCUAAACUUGUGGGGAGAGUACUUGAUCUAAAGUCUAAGUCGUUAACGGAUACGAUAUGGGAAGGUUAAGCUGCUGUUUAUCUGUUCCUAGAGAUGCUAGAAUUCUGGAGAAUUUUAUCUUUGAAAAUCUUUAAAUUGUUGCAUGAUGAGUUCCUGUAUGAUGAGAGUUUAAAUUCCUACCACAGCCAUAUAUACAUGCUUGCUAGACUUUGAGCCACACAUUUACUUUUUACUGCUUAUGAGCAUUGAGUGUGGUCAAGCUUUGUAUACCCUUAGGAGCUUGUCAUGUGGUUAAAUCAAGAUUCACUUGCACGUUCACUCAUACAUGCUACUUCUACUCCGGAAGUACCAUCCAUAUAUAUCCAUUUCCAUCUCCAGAACCACCCAAAAAUAUUCUACUCCUAAUCCGGGAGAGAACAGCCAAAAAUAUUCCUGUUUUUCCCCUGUGAAAUAAAUGCUCAAGUUAUCUUGUUACUACCACUUGCUAUAUUAUCUCAUGAGAUGAGUGCUCUAAAAAAAAGAAGAAAAAAAAGAAAAAAAAUAUAUACGAGGAAAUAAAAAGGGGCAAGUGCCCGGAACCUCGAAGAAAAGAAAAAGUGAGACGAGAGGUAAAAAUGGACAAGUGUCCGAUAGUAGAAUUAGGGGUACAAGAUACCCACCUGAGAGAAAAGAAAAAGAAAACAUAGAGCAUCUCAUUCUCCUCAAAAAGUUUCAAAAGAGCAAGAAAGGUAUGUAUCCCCUCAAAAGAGCAAAAGUAGAAUUAGACUUUCACCAUUGUUAUCACCAUCAUCACCAUACACCAUUCAUUCGCCACACAUGCACAUCUUGAUUUGACUUAUUGACUUGUUCUUCUGGAUCCAUGGUUUGACUAUGCAAUAAAUGUCUUGUAAGUAUGUAUUAGCUGUCUCCCACCUAUGAGCUCCAGAUAUCAAAACCUUAUUAGAGUAGGGUGAGAGAGAAGGCAAUGUCACUAUGCCUCAUACCAAAAAUACCACAUACUUUGAGAGAAGGCAUAUACCAUUACUGCGUUGGUAAGGAUCCAGAAAUACCACAAAAGAGAGACUAGAGAGAGUCAUACAAGGAAUCUCUGAGUUUUAUUUAAAAAUUUGCAAAAACUCCAGAGCUAUAGUUAAUCGAAGAACAAGAGACAUGGUGCUUGACUAGACUGUUCUAUCUUUUAACUACUCAAGACAGAAGUGACGGUUACAAGUCCCAUGGUGAAAGGUAAAUGAGUAAGUUUUAAGUCUUAACAGUUUACUCUAACCAGAGAUGAGAUCUUGUUUAAACGCAUGUGUAUCUUUAAGUUCUGAAACCACUGC